rnacentral:lncRNA from 1 species
AAAGAUAAAGUUCAAACCCCAAUAUGAAAAAAAGUAAUUAAGUUUAGACUGGAAAUAAUGAUAAAAAAAUAGUGGAGGAAAAACUUAUACAUUAUACCAAUACCUACCUCUUAAUGAGCCUAUAGAAUGCGACGUACAUUGUACCCAUAUAAAACAAAAUUUUGACAGUAGGUACAAAUGAUAGGUUACCCUUACACUCUGGUUGAUUUCAUGUUGAGAGGGUUAUUCUCCAAAAAAGAAAAACGAAAAUAAGAUAUAAUCUAAUUAUUGAUUAUUUGAGUAAAGGUAGAAUUUUAUUCUAAAAGAAAAGUUACUCUUAUAUUUGAAGGUUCGGGUUGAUUUAGACAAUUUAAAUUUUCAGGAUUUUUAUAUUUCAGGGUUCAGGUUAAUUUAAGCAAAUAAAUUGAGGAGUUUGAAGCGAAUUCUCCAUAUGAGGAUGUACAAUCUGCUCUAAAAUGUUGAUGUUUGAAGCGAAUUUUCUGCCUAAAGCUACACCGUUUGCUUGGGGAUAAGACACAUUACAUUUGUUUGAGAUUCUUAGCUUCGACAGUUUAAAGCAUUUUAAGACCACACUGCUUGCUCUAAUUAAAAGCUUGAUUUAGGUAGACACUUUAAAGCAAAUUACUAACUUAAGAUCACAAAAUUUUCUCAGGAUACAACACAUUAGAGAAUUUAGUCUAACUUAGACGAACUCUUUGCUUAAGACCACAUAGUAAGUAUAAUCACUGUGGUCCACAAAUAAAUGCAUUAAAUUAAUUUCUCAUUUCUACCGGCUCACAUUUUUUUCCAUCUUUUGAUUAUUGCUAUACAAUUAUGGUACACCAGCUCUACAUUAAUAUAGAGAUUGUUUGUAGUUACUGUGCUGCAGCCUUACAAGAAUAAAUAUAACACCUUCCAUUAAAUAAUUUAGUACAAAAGUAAGCAGUUUCAUAUCAGUUUUAGUCUGCAAACAAAUUUCACUCCUCCGAGAACUUUACUUGAAUAUCAUUCGCAACCCGAAUAGAAUUGGAUUCAAAUUCAAACAUCAGAAUGGGCAACAACAUCUUGGCCCACUGCUUGCAUUACUCCCAAAACAUCAUCUCACAGUGUUUUAGCAGAUAGCACACAGAUUCACUAUUCAUAUCAGGUGCAACAACUAGGAUGAGUGAGUGAGACAAGGCAACAUGUUGAGACUUGAGCGCAAUGGGCACACUUGGGAGACGAUGACAAAAAGAAAGGUCAGCUGGGUAGCUGGCUAUUGUUGAAUAGUCAGCAUAUGCAAACUAAACUAAAUGUAAAAUAAGAAGCCAAGUUUUGUGUAACACUCUUUUGAAGGCGAUAAACAAAGGGGAAACACAAUGCCCCCAUUGUACCCACAUCUCUUAAGCACACGUGUGUUACUCCACAAAAUGUGUGAGUCUUAAUGUACUUGGUAAUGAACGAUUAUACAUAUAGAUCAUGAUAAGAUCUUGUCUCCUUGGCUUUACUUCUCAUUUUUGUCUUCUUCUUCCUACACAAUAACGACAAAAUUAAUUUAGUUAAAAUAUACUUUUUUUAUCGGUUGAAUCGUUAACGUUGUUAGUAUUUUUUGUUAAAAUAUAUCAACUUAACAUAUUGAUUAGGUUGUUCAUAUAUGGUGCGGCUUACAAAAUUAUCAAAAUAGAACUAAAUCAGUCGAUUGAACCGAAAAUUAAAAGUUCAACCAGUGACAUAUAAACCGGAAUUAGCUUAACCAUUUUGAGUUGGUAAAAAAUCAAAAAUUGAAAACAAGAAAAAUUGAUUCAAAAAAAUAUUUUAUCAUUAUUAGCAAAAUUUUGUGUUACAUCCCAACAAUCAGGUUAGUAGAAAUUGAGUUAGUGAAAUUAGGAGUGGUCACGUCUUGUUUUUGGAUUAAGGUUGUGAAAAUUUUGUCAAGUGAUUUAAUCUGGUUUAGUGGUUAAGUGUGUUACUUAUGUGUGAGAGGUUUUUGGUUUGAAUUUUUUCCCUUUCUUCGAACUUAUAGCUUAUAUAUUAUUUUCGCUCAACUGAUAAUAGAAUGAGCCCCGCUAAUUCAGUGGUAAGACUUUAACUUACCCUUUAGUCUUGUGUUUGAAUCCCUAUGCGUGUAAACAGGAAUAUUUUUGCUAAUUUAUUGCUUGUGUUGUCCAUGUUGUAGUAGGUCGGUGGAAUUCGAAUUCAGGGAAAAUUCUGAUAGGGUGGUUAGUUUGGGAUUUAGUGAGAUUCUAAUUUUAGAAAAAAUUUCCCCAAAAAUUCUCUCACGUUUCCGUCACUCCCUCUCACGUCUCUAGGGGUGAGCAAAACUUGAUUCGACUCAAAAAAAUCGAAAAAAAUUCAAAUUUCGAGUUAAACGAAUCGAGUUAUUCGAGUUAAUCGAGUUAUUCGAAUCAACUCGAAUUUUUUUUUCAAAUUUCGAGUUCGAAUCAAGUUGAGUUUUCGAAUUCGAAUAACUCGAAUAAUUCGAAUAUCAAACUAUAGUGUUUUACAUUUUUACCCCAAACCCCCAAACCUUUUUACUUUUACCUCAAAACUUUUACUCCUUCCCACUUUUCCCCCAAAACUUUUACUCCCCUCCCUUCCCAACCCCCCAAUCUACCCAAAAUCCAUUUCCCACCAAAAUUUUACUCUUCCAUCUACUUUUUCUCAAAAUUUUACUCCUAAAAACCCUCAAAACAUUUUAUUUUCCCCCAAAAUUUUUACUCCCUCCUACUUUUCCUCUAAAACUUUUAUUCCCUUCCCAUCUCACGUCCCAUCUACCCCAAACCCCCCCUCCAAUUUUUUUUAAUAUUUUCCCUCCAAAAUUUUACUCCCCCUAUUUACUUUCCCUCAAACUUUUAUUCCUCAAAACUUUUUAUUUUCCCCCUAAACUUUUACUUCUCACCCUUUACUCUCAAAUAAAAAAUCAAAAUUAUCCAAAAAAUCACUAAACAUAAAUUGUAAUAAUUUUAUUUAUAUCUACUAUUUAUAUUAUUAAAUUAAAUUUUAGAUUUUAUAUUAUUUAUAUUAUUGAACUGUUUAGUCAUAUUGAAUAUUUAUAUUAAAAUUGAAUUAUUAAUUAUGCCAUAAAAUAUUCGUGUUAAAAUUUUAUAUUGGUAUCAAUUUCACAUUUUAUUUUUAAAAUAACUUUUAUUAAAAAAUUAUAUUUUUACAUUUAAUAUAUUUUUUAAUUCCAAAAUACAUAGUGAUAAGAAUCUGAAGAUAAUUGAAACAACUAAGCAAGCAAAGAAGCUAACCAAUAUAUAAAAAAUUAAUAAAUAAAUUAUGAGGUGAUGAAAGUUAAUAAAAAAUUUGAUUAAGGCGGACAAAUUUUAUUAAGAUGGGUGACAGUGGUUACAAGGACUCAAAAUUAUUUUUUAAAAUUUAACUCAAACAAAUAUAUUCGAUUCGAUUUGAUUCGAAUUCUAUCUCACUCGACUCGAUUCGAGAAAACUUCAAAUAAAGUUAGAAUGAUAAAAUGAGAUUCGAAAACUCGAUUAACUCGAAAAUUUUCGAUUCGAUUCAAUUCGAUCGAAUGCUCACCCCUACACGUCUCUCCCUCUUUCCCUCGGUUUUGCUGGCCAUUUUUCUAUUUUCUCAAAUUUUCUUCCUUUCUUGUUCAAUAUUUUUACUUCCUUCCUUCCCUGUGGCUACAGUAAAUUAGCAAUUGUGCUCAUUUUAUUUAUUUCACCUAAAGACUUUUUUUUCCAUUCUGUGAUUUUGUUUGUUGUGGUUCUGUCUUUAGUGUUAGUGGUGCGUAUUGUAAAGGUUCGGUAAGGCUUGUAUAUCUCUUUGUUAGUAUGUCAUUGUUUCGUUGCAAUGAGGUAGGUUUUAAACUAAUUGAUUUGGUUCUGUUAGGGGAAGUUUGUGAGAAGCGCGAAUUAUUGACGGUGAAUUAGGGGACUCGUAAGGCUGCUAUUCCGAUUGGGUAAGUGAAUUAAUCUGUUGUCCUAGUGGCUAUUUAGUGUCAUUGAGGCUUAAUGUUUAGUGUUUGGGGUCGAAUUAGUGGCUUAGAUUUAGUGUUCCGUUGCUUAAAUUGCUUGUUUUUAUUGUCAAUUUAGGUACGAGAAUCCUUGCUGUUGUGAUUGCAUCAGAAAAUGAUCAGGUAUGUGACUCGAUCUCGUAAAAACAACGAAUGGUAGAAAGCCAAAAAACCCACUGUCGAUGUCACACGGCCAUGUGGCAAACUGUGUAGUUCCUUUCUUGUUCAAUUUUCUUCAUUUCUUUCUUCCUUGUGGCUACCGUAAAUUAGCAACUAUGCUCAUUUUCUUUAUUUCACCUAAAGACUUUCUUUUUCCAUUUUGUGAUUUUUUCUUGUUGUGGUUUUAUCUUUGGUGUUGGUGGUGCGUAUUGUAAAGGUUCGGUAAGGCUUUGUAUAUCUCCUUGGUAGUAUGCCAUCAUUUCGUUGCAAUGAGGUAGGUUUUAAACUAAUUGAUUUGGUUCUGUUAGGGGAAGUUUGUAAGAAGUGCGGAUUAUCGAUGACGAAUUAGGAGACUCGUAAGGUUGCUGUUCCGAUUGGAUAAGUGAUUUAAUUUGUUCUGUUAGUGGUUGUUUAGUGUUGUUGAGACCUAACAUUUACUGUUUGGGGUCAAAUUAGUGGCUUAGAUUUAGUGUUUUGUUGCUGAAAUUGCUUGUUUUGAUUGUAGAUUUAGGUGCGGGAAUCCUCGCUAUUGUGAUUACAUCAGAAAAUGAUCAGGUGUGUGACUCGAUCUCGUAAAUACAACUAACGGUAGAAAGCCGAAAAACCAUUGUCGACGUCACACGGCCAUGUACCAAACUGUGUGAGCCACACUACCGUAUGCCAGACUGUGUGGGCCACACGGGCUGGGUUAUUUGGGUCGUGUGGAUCACACAGGCGUGUGUUAGGUCAUGUGCCAAACUGUGUGGGCCACACAGGCUGGGCCAAUUAGGGGUGUGGGCUCGUUUUUCCCAAAUUUUGGUUAGGGUCGUAUUUGAAGUGCAAUUCAAGAUUACUCACCUUGUAGGUUCUAUAAUGCGAUAUAUUUGUGAUAUGAGUGUGAAAACUGUUAAUCUGUGACUAUUUAUGCAAUCUCUGUAAGCAUGAUUUUAUAUUCUAAUUAGUUAAGUAUAUACGAGUACUGAUAAAGUAUGUUUUUAUUCAAUUCCCAUUGCAUGUGACAUUUUGGUUUUUCUUAUUUAAGUGAUUUGUAAAUAUUGAAAUCUAACAUAUCUGUUUUUGCAAAGCAUGAAACCUGAUGCCUGCUGAUUUUUUAUAAAUAAACGAUUGCAUGUUCAACAUAUUUACUAUUUUAAUUCUGUGUUUGCAUGUUAUGUCACAUUGCGCGGGGUUGGGUUAAUAUGGUAAGGAGGAACAUCUAGCAAUUUAAUAUUCUGCACUAUUUGAUGGUAUAACCACAUUUCUUUUCUGCCAGCUUGACUGCAAUAUAGUGGUUUGACCACAUAUAUCUGAUCUGGCAGUUUAACUGCAAAUUGAUAAGUCAUCAUUGUCGGGCAACCCGGAAUGACUUAAUUGGUGCGUUUUGGAUGGACGAGUUAUAGGGAACUCUUAAUUGGUGUGUAGUGGAGUUGGGUAGGAAGUUUUCUAAAAAAUUUGCAUUUCGUUUUUCCGAAAAUUUAUUGCAUUCACAUAACCAUUCAUGCUAAGUUUUGCCUAUUUGAGUUCGAUGAAAUUCUUUGCAAUGUUUUGAUUUGUUAAUAUGUUAUUUGUGUCUCUUUUUUAAUUUAGUUACACACUAAGCUUUAUGGUUCACCCCUUUUCAUUUUAACCAUUUUAGGCAAUCGACAAAAUUAGGAUUGGGCAGCGUCUGAGAACUCAGGUUGGCUUCUCGCAUAAAACGAUUUGUUUUUUUAAUAAUUUAAUUUUCUAAACUUUUGGUUUUGGACUAAUUUUCAGAUUUUAUUUUUGGUUUGGGGUUUUGCGAUGAUUUUUGUUAUUUCCUUAUAAAUUUCCACAUGGUUUCUGCCAAUUAAAUAUAAAUUAUUGGUUUCCAAAAUUAAAUAAAUUAAGGUUUUUCCGUUACAAAUAUAAAAUAAGUUUUACGAAAGUUAAAUUACGUAAGUUUGAGAAUAUGCACAUUCGGCAAAAUUAUAUGUUUUACUUAUCGAGAUCAUGAGUUUCAAAAAUCAACUCCAAAAUUUCUGCUACAAAAUUAAGUGUCAAAUUAAGUUCUUUUCGUAAAAUAAAUAACAUGUAAGAGUAUUGUCAAAAGUAAUGUUUUUUAAUCACAUGAUUUUUAAAGCUAGAUUUCGAUUUUUGAGUUUUUAAACAAACUAAUGUAAUUCCUCCAGAUUCGACCAUAACGUCUAGGCCGGGUUUAAGGUGUUACAUUUUAAUAUUUUUUUCAUUAUAUUUUGGGUGAAAUAUACACAAAGAUCUAUUAUAGUGGAUUCCCUUAGAAUCCAUUAUAAACCUAUAUUUUGGGUGAAGCAUACACAAAGAAGACACAUAUUUUCUCUCUUUUGAUAAUCGAUUGAAUAAUUUUUAUAAUUUUUUUUUUAUUUUUAAGUGAUUAACACAUCAGGUUCAAUCAGUUCGACUUCCGAUCCACUUCUUAUAAAAUUGGUGGCAUAUGAUUAAUAGAAAAUAAAUGUGCCCAAUUGAGAAUUUUUUACAGUAAACACUAAUAAUGUUAAUGAUUGCACAAAUAUUUUCAAAUAAAAAAAAAGGAAAAUAUUUAAUUUUUAACUUUUAAAGAAUAAAAACGUUAUCAAAAUGCAUAAAUGGAUAGCAUAUUUUAUCUGAAUUGAAUUGUUGUUCAUAUAGUAACUGUAUGUCCUUUUGUUUCGGCAUAAUGAUUUAUUUGGCUCUCUAACUUUAUAAAAAAAAUUAUUUUAGUCAUCCAUUUAAUUUUUCACCUCUUUUAACCCUUGAACUUGCACUAUUUGACAAAUCACUCCAAAAUAGAUGAAAAAAUUAACGUCUGUUAAUUUUGCUAACAUGGAAUAUACGUGGGUUGCCACAUAGAUGUUAUGCUAGCAAGUAAUUAAUUUUUUAAAAUUAAAAAAAUUAAAAAUUAUUUUUUAAUUUUAAAAAUUAGUUAAUUGUUAAUGUGAGAUACAAGUGGAUUGCCACGUCAACAAAGUUAACAGGCAUUAAUUUUUUUCAUCCAUUUUAAAGUGAUUUAAUAAACAAUAUGAAUUCAAUAACUAAAAGAAGAGAAAAUUUAAAUGGAGGGCUAUUUUUUUUUUUUUUUGGGUAAAGUGAAUACAACCAAAUGGCUGAUUAUUCCAUUUGGUUUCCCCAAGACACUUCCAUUUUCUUCCUAUGCAAUGAUGGAUGGCAUUAAUUUCUGAUGGUGGGAUUCAUUUCAUAAGCAAAGCAUGCUCUUUGGAUCUUUUACUAACCCAUUUUGGCUUCUCACCAAUUAAUGGAAAAUUUUGGACUUAACUGUUUGAAGACUCGAAGUAAAGGAAAACCCUAAAACUAUAAAGAGGAGAAAGUGACUUGUCACCAAAUGAAAAUCAAUAGUAUAAGCAUAAAAAUUAUUAGAUGCUGGAAAUCUUUUGAUUGUUUCUUUUGUCGAUGGCUAAGGGUGGAAAGUGGGAACCAAAGUUAUGUAAAAAGCUAGUUAGAUAUGGGGAUCCAUUUGCUGUGUAUUUGUUGGGACUGUCACGAGAUUCCACCAAAAAACAAAGCCUUUGAGAUGUAUUACAAAAUGUAAUACAAGAACCACUUAAAAUCACUUCUUUUAUUACCCCCUUUUCCCACUUCUUUCAAUCACCUUAAUUUCUCAAGGUGCAAAAAGAAAAGCACGUGAACUAGUGUUUGUGGGUCGAGAAGUAAAGCUUUAACUAAAAAUGAUACUGUUAGACAAUUUUCAUUACCGGCCCUGAAUUAAUUUGGGUCGGAUUAUAAUAAGCUCGUAAUAUCGACUCGCAGGUUAAGCUUGCUUUCCCGCGAUGUUAUAUAUACAGGCCAGGCUCAUAUAAAAUCUUAUAAACACGUGUUAAAUCUAGAGUAUAAUAUAUGUCUAUAUGCAUGAAGCUUACCUAGUUAGUAUAUCAUGUUAAUGAACAGUACUCAACAGAUACCAUGUUUCUACUUAGAUGUCCACUCCAUUUAUACUCAUCACUUAAUUCGGUACUGGAAUCCUGCCAUACAUCAUGUCGUAUGCCCACGCAUCAUCAUGCAAACUAAAGAUGACAUUCGGCUCAGGAAAUCCUAACACAGGUGCCAACUACACCACAUGGCUCAUGCCAACAAGAGCUUAUAGAAUGACAAUGCAUCUCACUUUCCAAGAGACGGCUACUUCCUUGUUUCCUUUUAGGCUUCCCGCAUGCCAAACAUGUUAGUUCCUUCAUGGAAUCUUGAAAUAAUUGCUUAAAAAGAAUUUGCAGAAUAGUGUGAGAAUCUUCGAAGAAGGAACAGAUGUGUGGUGAAUAACAUGUAUUUGAUCCUUAGUUUAUGGCCCUCACACUCUCCCAAGUUCACCACACGGGAAAACACUUGGCAACCAUGCGGGAGCAUCGGAUCAUGGCUCCAUAGACCUCCUGUGCAAUCACAUACAAUCGAUGCUGGAUUUUAUUUUUUUUAAAUUAUUAUAUUUACUUUAAUGAUGUAUAUAAUAACUUAUUUAUUAGCAUAAAUUUUUAUAAAUUAUUAAUAUUAUUAACAAUAACAAUUUAGUAAAACUUUAGACGUAAAAUCCAAAAACAUGUGAAUGGGUUGAAGUUUGAUUGGGUCCAACAAGUCAACUCUCAAAUGACAUUAAGUCAAACAAGGUUCAAAAUGAUAUUGGUUGUUAAAACUAAAGCAAUUAAUGCAUCAUAGAGCAGAACCAACCCCGUGAUUAUUUAUAAUAUUUUAUUUUUAUACUAAUUAAUCACAAAUUAGCAGUAUAUGAUCUGAUCUUAGGCACUAGAACAAUAGUUAUAGUAGUGGGCAGAUGACAGUAGACAGUAGGAGAGUCACGUGGCAAACAGUAGAUGAGUGGGGAAGGGUCAUUUUCAUGAUUUCCAAGAGAAAAACACCUGGCAAUGUCUUCAUUGAUUUGACUUUUCUGUUGUCGGUUUUGGGUAUGAAAAGUAACAGAAUUGGAGCCGACCAAACACUAGGGGACGUGGAAGCUUCUUAACUGUUAUGCGUAUUUUCUUUGUAUUCCACACUUUAUUUCUUUACUUUUCCUCGCCGACACCCAUGCCCGAGCCUCGUUCAGACAAAAUAAUUUGUUUAAAAAUAGGAAUAUUUUUUUUUAUUUUUUAUUUAAAAAUAAGUUAGAUCAAGGUAUAAUUUGGUUAUUCUAUUGAAAUCGUAUCAACUUUUAAUAUUAUCAAAAUAAUGUAUACGUCACACGUUAUAUAUAAUAAUUUUAUCAUUUUAUCGAUCAUGUUAAUUUUUAAAAGUAUAAAUAAAUGAACUAUUUAACAAAAAUGAUCAGUUUGAUUUUUGAUCUAAUGUACGAUGAUUGAUUCAUUCAUUUUUUUAGCACAGUGGACAAAAUGUAAUUUAACUCUCGAUAUAAGAGCCUCCAUGGUGGUUUUUAUAAGUAAAUCAGUGGUCGAACAAAUCAAACUAUAAAAUUUUAAUUUAAUUAAUCCGUUUGGUUUAAUUAAAUGAAUUAUUAAAAAUAGUAAAUAUUUAGAUGUAUUAAAAAUAAUAAAAUUGAUUCAAUCAAUUUUUCAAUUCAACCAAUUCAUAAGUCGAUUACUCUAACCCUUUAUUUCAAACCAAUACUUUAACGGAUUCACGAUCUAAUCAAUUGAUGAUGACCUAACAAAUAGCAAUGGAAAAUGAGUGAGUUGUAACCAUAGAAUACAACCUUAAUUGAAAUGCAUACAUUUGUCUCAUACACUAUGGGGAUGGUGAGAUGAGAUCAAUUUUACAUCUCAGAGGGGCUAUAAUUGGAGAUACCAUUGUUUCUGGUAUAGAAGUUCCUAUAAAAAUGGGAAAUGCCCUACCUUUGAGUGCGGUUUGAACUAUUGAUUUACGUAAUUGGAAGGAACGAAUUAGUUUUAUGUUUUAAUUUUUAUAUAAUAUUUCAUCCUCGAUUACGAAAUGAUUUUUUCGAAUGUUGUAUCAAUAUUUUGAUUGGAUUAGUGUCACGAGUCAAUUGGACACUAAUUCAAUUAAGAAAAUUAUAAAAAAAAUGUCCUUUCAUGUUUAAAAUAAGGUGUAUUAACUUAGGGCACUUUCAUCUUUUUUAUUUUAAGAAAAACCAAUAAAAAUAAAUAUAUGAUGAGAUUUGAACCCACACCAAAUGAAUUGGUCAAACCUUGAAUUUACCACUCAACCAAAGCUCCAUUUGGAGUUAAUUGAUUUAUAAUCAAUAGGUGGUUCGGAUUUUGCCAUCCCUAAUUUAACUCAUAGUAUAAAGGCUUCCAUAGUACUUUUACCGUGUGUUGUGGUUAAGGCAACACAAAGUUUUAAUAACUAAUUUGGUGGUCAAACUAAUCAAAUGAUUAAUUUUUAGCUUAAUCAAACUAACAUCUCUUGAGAAUUACCCGCUUUUAUUCAUUUUCUUUUUUUGGGGAAAAUGUAUAUUUUUCAUGAUACCCGUAAACUGGAUUACACAGUCGAAAAACUAUUAACCAAUUUAUACCUAUUAUUUUGAAAAUAUAUAAUGAUUUAUUUGACUCUCCAAUUCUACAAAAGAAAGUUAUUUUAGCCAUUCAUUUAAUUUAUUGUCUCUUUUAGUCAUUGAACUUGCAUUGUUUAUCAAACCACUCCAAAAUUAAGAAAAAGUUAAUGUCAUUCAAAUUUCGUGCAAUUAAUUAAUUUAAAAAACAUGUAACAAAUAUUUUUAAUAAUUUCUAUAUAUUUUUUAUUCUUUAAUAAAAUUUACACUUUUUAAUUUUUUUUUUGAAAAUUUACAUUUAAAAUUUUAAUUAAUUUCUAACGUGAUAAUCUAUGUGAUAAGGGACAGUAGACCAAUAUCAUAUUCAAGUUCUUCGACAAGAGGGGAUUCGGAUCUAACCCGAAAAGAAGAAACCAAACAGAUUUUAAAAAACAAAGAAACAAAAACAAAAUUAAAGAAAAAUAAAAUGAAAAAAAAAUCCAAACCGAUUGAGAAAUAUCAUACUCUUGAUGUUUAAAUUGCGUUUCUUGCAAAGAAAUCCUUUGAUCUUGAAACUUGAAAUUUCAAAAGAAUGUCGAGCGUUUAAAAAAGAAUUUAAUUUGGACAAAAUCAAGAUAAACAAAGAUUCGAGAAAGAUGAAAAGUGGCGAAAAAGAUGAUAUCCUAUAAAACCUUUUGAAGAAUGAUCUACAACAAGCUCCACAAAUGACUCUAACCAACCUCCUAAGGCCGAACCCUAAUAAAUUGGAGAGUGAAAAGUUCUUCCACAACUUUAAAGAGAAAACCAAAAAGAAAACUUACUUUUAAAAUAAACAGAUAUUAAUUUUUUCAUCUAUUUUGGGAUGAUUUGACAAAUAACGCAAAAAAAAUAAGAGCACCAAAUAAAUUAUUAUAUUUUUUGAAAGAAAAAAAAACAUAAUCCUUUCCACCUACAUAUCCACCCAAAAUUGAUAUUGUUUUAUAAAAAAUAUAUAAUAAAGAUUUUAUGGAACUUUAUAUUGGGCCUGGGCUGUUUGCUUCAACACGAGUUGGAUUUUGUUCUGGUGUAGUCUAAAAGGCCCAAUUGUCUGAUAGCAAUACCACCCCAUACAGAACUCAUCGCUUCCUUUUAAAUUUUCAGCAUCAUUUAAUCUUUCUAUUUAUACAACUUUUUAAUUUUUAACCGAGUUGAUGUGACAUUAAUCAUAAGUAUGGAACGAAUGUUGAUAUUAAUCAUAAGAUAACGUUAUUUAAAUUAAACUGGAAUGGGUCAAUUGGUUGGAUUUGAAACCGGUCAGGGCAUCGGUCAGAAAGAGGGGUUAGAGAAAAUGACUAGCGAAUUGCUCAAAACCUAUUGAUCUGUGUUAAAAAACGGUUCAAUUGGUUUUCUCUAAUUUUUAAUAUUUUUAUGAUUUUUUUAAUAAUUUAUUUAAUUAAACUAAACCACCCAAUAACCAAUGAUUUAACAAGUUUUGCCAUCAGUUCGGCUCUGAGAACCUUAGCUUUAAUUCUGUGGAUAACAACUUGAGGUAUCCAAAUUAUUACCCCUUCAAAAUUGUGGGCAAUUUGGUUAUUAACCUUUUAAAAAGAGUCAAAUUGUUUUUUAACAAAAAUGUUAACUAAAACAUUAAUUUUUUAACGAUAUUGGUGUGAUAACCCAUGUGGCAGUCCACGCGUACUUCAUGUUGACAUUGCACUAUUUGUUUUAUAGGCGCCACAUCAAUAAAUAAUUUAAAAACUAAAAAAAAAUAUAAAUUUCAUAAUUAUUUUUUUAAAAUAGCAUGAAAUGCAUAUAAAUUGCUAUGCGGAGCCGGACAACCAUAUUUAAAUAAUAAGCAUUUAUGUUAAAAUGUUAAAAAAUUAAAUUAGAUUUGAUUUUUUUAAAAGGAUGAAGUGAAAUUUACAUUUUAAGAAAUACAGGUAAAAUUAAUAAAAGAUAUAAAGAUUGAGGACUAAAUUUUGAUAUUAUACCUUUAAAAAUAUAUUCACACCCGCACUCUUGAGGAGAUAAAUAGCAAAGGCCAAAAAAAGGCGCGAGCGGAGGGAGGCAGGCAUUAAAGUAGAUUAAAUUCGAAAUUAAAUUGGCGCGUUUUCUUUCCGCUCAGACUAAGCAACUGAAACCCUGCGAUAUAAAAACCAAAAGCUAAAAACUAAAAUACCUUGAAUUUAUUUCAGAGCAAAAUAAAGAUCUCUCUCUCUCAUAAAUUCCAUUUCCCCUCAUUCCUCCAAUGGAUCACCAGAACAAGCCCCAAACAAGGAGAAGCUUGAAGCGGAAACUGGAGCAAGAAUUCGAAGAAGAUAAAUCAGGUCGGUGCAAGGCGGUCGUCGUCGAGUCCCGCCGUACUCACCAAGAUAUCAUCCGCGAUGUUCGAAUUCACGUCGACGUUCUCAAUACCUGCAUCUCUUUUACAGAAGCCCAUCGCGCCGCUGCCAAAUGUUCCGCUCAGUUACUUUCGAAAAUCGCCAUGAACGGUACGUUUCGGAUCUUUAAAUUUUCGAUUAUUUGUAGCGGAAUGGAUUUCGGUGUUUAUUUGUUAUUUGUUUAUUAUUUGGCUGUUAGAGGAUAUCGUGGAUUUGAUCGUGGAGUGCGGGGCCGUUCCUGCUCUGGUAAAGCAAAUUCAAACGCCGCCUCUAUUGGCAGAAUCCGAUCCGAUACCAUUUGAGUAUGAAGUAGAGAAAGCAUGCGCGUUUGCGCUUGGACUAAUCGCGGUCAAGGUAACUGUGCAGACUUUCAUUUACUUGGUUUUAGAUUACUUAAAUUUUUUUAGGUAAUAUGUUGUAUUUAUGUCAAAAUAGGCAGAGCAUCAACAACUAGUGGUUGACGCCGGGGCUCUGCCCUGUCUAGUGAAUUUGUUGAAAAUGCACAAGGAUGGUUGUAAUUCUCGGGAAAUGAAUGGUGUUAUAAGGAAAGCUGCUGAUGCUAUAACUAAUCUUGCUCACGAAAAUGCCCGCAUUAAAACCCGUAUCAGGUUGGCUUUUUUGGAUAUCUAUUUUUUAUUUUGUUAGCAUUAAUUUUCACACCCUUAUAGGUUGUUUUUCGAUCUACAAAUAUUAGGACUGAGGGUGGAAUUCCUCCUCUCGUUCAGUUGCUGGAGUAUCACGACAUAAAGGUGCAGAGGUCAGCUGCUGGGGCCUUAAGGACCCUAGCGUUUAAGAACGACGAAAACAAAAAUCAGGUAAGGUUGUUUUUGCACUUUGCGGUAGCAUUACCUGGUUCUCUUUUGCGGGUUUUAAUAUAGUUUGUAUAUUUGCAGAUUGUUGAAUGCAAUGCUCUACCAACCCUCGUACUAAUGCUUUCCUCUGAGGACGUUACAGUACAUUAUGAAGCAGUUAGUUCUCUUCUUGACUUUUAUCUUUUCUGUUUGGUCAUCUUAAUACACAUUCUGGAGAGUUACCGUUCCCUUAAAAGCUGACAUCAAAGGAUGUUCAGGUUGGCGUGAUUGGGAACCUUGUCCACUCCUCUCCAAACAUAAAGAAAGACGUUCUUCUUGCUGGAGCACUGCAGCCUGUGAUUAGGUUACUUAGGUAAUGCCGAGUUAUACAUUAGGUUUUCACUUUUGCUCGGGAUGAUUUCAGUUUUAAUCAUAUGAUGUCCAUGUUUAUGAUUUUGCCAACAGUUCUAGUUGUUUGGAGAGCCAGAGGGAAGCGGCUUUACUCAUAGGUCAAUUUGCUGCUGCUGAUUCAGAUUGCAAGGUAGGCUGACAUCUUAAUUCUAAUUUGGCACUUACAUUGUGAAUUUGUGAUCACUACUCAAAGCAUCUGAAAUAAAUUACUGUUUUAGACGCUUAGAUUUUAGGUAUAAUUCUGCAUAUGAUUCUGUGUUUAUGCAAAUGCGUCUCUCUGUUAAAAGUUAUGAAGUUGGGGAUUCUACAGGUACACAUUGUCCAAAGAGGUGCUGUUCCACCCUUAAUAGAAAUGCUCACAUCUUCAGAUGUACAGCUCAAGGAAAUGUCUGCAUUUGCGCUUGGGCGGUUGGCCCAGGUUUGUAUUUAUUUGCUGCCUUUCUGGGUUAAAAUUCCUCUGGCAGGACUUGAAGAAUAACAUUAGUUAUUUGAUAUCUUAUACUAUAUGAAAUCAUGCUAAAUUCUCACUUUAAAAUGCUCAACAGUUUUUUUUUUUUUUUUGAAAUCUUACUUUCUUUGUCAAUUAAAGAUUUUCUUCUUGCAGGACACACACAAUCAAGUUGGAAUUGUACAGAGUGGUGGAAUAGUACCGUUGCUUAGUCUACUUGAUUCAAAAGGUGGACCAUUGCAGCAUAAUUCUGCAUUUGCCCUAUACGGCCUUGCUGAGAAUGAGGUAAAUGACACUGGUUUACCGUAAUAUUUUCAACUUGAACUGCAGUUUUUACAUGGUGAGCCUAUUGACGAUUAAUUAGUCUGUUCUAUAGGAUAAUGUUGUGGAUCUUAUCAAGACUGGAGGUGUUCAGAAACUCCUGGAAGGGGAGUUCAUUGCUCAGGUGUGCUUUAGAAUUCUUCUGCUUUUUGGAUGCUACCGUUUUAAGUUAAUUUGCUUUUGCAUACCCUUAGAAUAUAUUGUCAGAAGACUUGUACGAAUUUUUCCAGUUUGUUAAUUAUGAAUUUAUCUUGUAAAACUGCAGCCAACAAAAGAUUGUGUAGCAAAGACAUUGAAGAGAUUGGAGGAAAAAAUUCAUGGACGAGUGAGUUUAUUUUUUCCUAACUUUAGACCCUUUCCUACUUGCUUUUACAGUAAGGUUAAGCCAGUAGCUUUUAGAGUUAGAAAGUGGCAUUUAUUUGAUACGUCCUCUUAACAGGCAUUGAGUCAUCUGUUGUACCUUAUGCGGACAGCAGCCAAGGCUGUUCAAAAACGAGUUGCUUUGGCUCUUGCUCAUCUUUGUGCUCCUAAUGAUCGGAAAACUAUUUUUGUUGACAACAAUGGUAUAGCAGUUUUCUAUUUCAACUGUCAUCAUUCCUUUUUAUUCUUGCACAUUGAUUACCGUGAGCAGUUCUUUCUGUUUUUUCCCCUCUCCCGGUUGCAAUUUCUAACUGCUCCCUGGGUUCUUGUCAAUUUAUUCCAGGGCUGGAGCUGCUACUGGGCCUUCUUGAGUCUAAAAGUUUCAAGCAGCAAAAAGAUGGUUCAGAGGCCUUGUAUAAGCUGGCUACAAAGGGUACUUCACUCUCAUCUGUGGAUGCCGCCCCGGUAUCUCCAACCCCACAGGUCUGUUUAUAUCUGCUGGUUUACAAGAAGGUUCUUACAUUUGCUUUGGAAAUCCUUUAGUAACAUAGGAUGAUAGGAGUGCUGGAUGCAUAGGCAUAUUUUACCAAUUUCUUAUUUAUAUAUCUAGCAAAAUGUCUUUUGAGAUUGAUAAAUUUUGUGGUCUUGGAUGUUCUUUUCCCAUUCACAAUUGUAGGUGUAUUUGGGCGAGCAGUAUGUAAAUAAUCCUACACUUUCUGAUGUUACAUUUUUGGUUGAAGGUACGGAUCUUUUCUUUGGAAUGAUUGUGCUACUUACCCAUGUGCUAGUUGAAACAUUCUUACCUAUGUGCUAUGGACUUUUCCACAAGUUUAGUAAUGUACUCCCUUUCAAUUUCCACAUUCUUCUUUCAGGUAAACGAUUCUAUGCUCACAGAAUUUGUCUUCUUGCUUCUUCGGAUGCAUUCCGGGCCAUGUUUGAUGGUGGUUACCGGGUGAGUCAGACAGUUCAAGUAUUUCGCUUCUGUCAUCUGUUUUUCUUUCCUUGUUACUUUGUUAUCACCAUCCCGCGGACUUCUUCAAUUGUCACAAAUUUGAGGAGCACAUUGCUAGAUAAUAGAACAGAAUGAUUUAAUACCAUAGAUCCGAGGGGAGUUGAUAGAACGAUGACUAAUAUGAAAAUUGAUUUGCAGGAGAGGGAUGCCAAAGAUGUAGAGAUUCCAAAUAUCAGAUGGGAUGUUUUUGUGUUAAUGAUGAGGUACAAACGACAAACCUGAAUUUGCCUUUGCAUGUAAAUACACCAAGUGUUUUCGAAAAAGUUCUUACAUGUAUGCUGUCCCGGUCCAUGCUGCUAGGUAUAUAUACACAGGAUCAGUAACCGUCGAGAUUGAUCAUGCUCAAGAACUUCUUAGAGCUGCCGACCAAUAUCUUCUUGAAGGCCUUAAGCGUCUUUGUGAAUAUGCCAUAGCACAGGUGUGUAUGUUUUACUGAAAUAAUGAUACGCGAAAAAACUUAGAAAAGAUAAAUGAAACUGGAGUCACUCAAACCCGAAUCUCGAUACCAUAGCUUUUAAUUGCACGACAGAUACACAUGCUUAUUUGUUCUAAUUGUCUUUUAAGGAUAUUUCUGUGGAGGAUGUUAUGCUAAUGUACGAACUAGCCGAGGCCUUCAAUGCCACCACACUCCGAGAAACAUGCUUACUCUUCAUAUUAGAACAAUUUGAAAGAAUAAGUACCAAACCAUGGUAUGUAAUUCCUAAACGGUGUUUUGAUUGUUGAAAAGUCUUGUCAUGAAGGGUGAAAUUUAUGGGAAUUGAAUCUGAUGAUCUCCAUGGUGUGUAAAACUUGCAGGUGUGGCCGUUUGAUUCAACGCGUCAUUCCAGAUUUAAGGAAUUUCUUCGUAAGUGCACUUGUAAAGUGUUAUGAUUCUAAUGUAAGCUCGCCUUUAUGGCCGUUGGAUUAGGUUACACCAUCAGCUUGUUAUUAGGUAUUGUACAGAUAGCUUAGGAAUUGGUAGGAAUUAGGUUACACCAUCAGCUUGUUAUUAGGUAUUGUACAUGAUUUGGUUGUUUUAAUAUUUUUUAUAAUUUACUAGUCGGCCCAAAUUUUUAUAUUUUCAUAUUGUGAUUUUUUAACAUAAUAAAAUGAUUAGACCAAUAUAAUCAUUCAAGCUCCACAGUUCCCUUUUAUUUGUCUCCAUUCCAGCAGUGUAAUUGUUAUGGCAUUCAAAUCUCUAGACCGAGCCGGCAGUAAUUGACCAUGAAUGAGCUUUUGGGCAUCAACUUGGUACGAUUGUUGACAGAAGAUAGAGAAAAGAUAGUGCGAAUUCAGAGAAAUCGAGGGGAGAAAUUUAGUUCAAUAGCAUUCUUUUUCGCAUAACUGUCUUUGUCAUCGAAGGAAAGAAAAUCCAAAUGAAAAAUAGCGGAAUAAAUUAAGAAAUUGAACAUAAAAAUUUAACGUGAAAAAAUAUCUCCAAAGAGUAUAAAAAACCAUGUGGAAAAACUUCAAGUGAAAAUAAAUUUACUAUAAUGACAAAAGAACAAAGAGUAUAAAAGAUGGAGAUAAAAAUUAAAUUUCGAAAAUUCAAAAAUAAAAAAUUCUCUAAAUACUAAUGGAUGUGACCAUGGUGUAACUGAGUAAGGAGGUGAAGGUAUCUCUGGUUGAGCAUGUACAACAAAAUUUAAUAUUUUUAUUUGAUUAUUUCUUAUCUUUAAAAUUUAAGUUUAUUGAGAGUUUGAAAUCCUGUUGUAGCAUAAUAUUAUUUUAUCUACAUGAACUACUAAAAUAAAUAGUAGUUCCAAUCAAGUAUUAAAUAAUGGGUAUUUUGACUUAGAAAUUUAAUCAAAGUAUUAAAUAUUGGGAAUUGCUGUGUGGGUUAGCUACCAUUUAUAAGCUUUAGAUAGUGGAGUUCAACAAUGCUAUCUUAUUAUUUUUUCUAUUAUACCCUCCAUUAAGCUCCUUUUUAUGUCAACGCCUUUGUUAUAUUAAUUAAAUAACUUCCAACACUUAACUUUAAUUUAAUGGUUUUUUAUUAAGGUCUAAACCUUAAUAUUUACAUCUAUAUUUUUUAUUCUUUUUAAGUUGAAUUUAGUUUCUCACUUUACAAAAAGAAUUAUAUAGUUUUUCUAACGAAAGUGUUGGCCGAGACCUUCAUUUCCCUUUUUGUUGGCAUAACAUUAUUUAUCUUUGUCCGUGUUUAAAAUUUAAAUAUUUUAAUCAGUAUUUUCAUUAAAAAUAGCAAUUUAACAAUUUUUUGGAAAACAAACGAUGAAAUUUAACUUAUUUUAUAAGAUUGAUGGUCAAAUUUAAUUAAAGAAAUGUAAAUUUUAAAGGUUUUUUCUGGUAGAAAACUAUACUUUUUAAGAAAGGGAGCUGAAAUAGUCAAAAACAAAAGCUAUGGGGUGGCCAAGAAUUUGAUUCCAUCAUCUUUCUUUUGGUUUAAUCAUAUUUUAAAGCCGAAAGGAGAGACGCAUAUAUAAACAUGACUUCAUUUUCAAUGCGGGAUUUAGGGUUUAAAUUCUGACGAAUGGCCUAUGGCCAAUGCCCAAUGGCAGUGGGAGGGGUGCAAAAGAGGCCCCUUUUUUCCUUAGGUUUCAACAGUCUCUCUUAUUCCUUUGGUUGGCUAAUGAAACCACAGCUUAAAAAACAAAGGCAAGAUUUUGAAAGCAAAAUCGAUGGUUAGGGCAAAGAGUAUCUUCAAUAGGUACAUAUUCUUUGCCAGUUUUCCAACCCAUACCAUAUAUUAAAAUUAGUAGGGAUGACAAAAUAACUCGAAAUCAAUCAGAUUUUUUUGGGUCUAGGUCAAGGUUAGUUUUGAUCCAUUCCGCCUCGAAAAAUAUUAUCAAAAUAACUCGACUUUAGUUUCAUAUAAGCUUUUAUGAGAGUUUUAACUGUUGUUCAUAAUUUUAUAAAAUUAAUAUAAUAUUUUAGAAAAAAAUUAUUUUUUUUGUUUGGAGUCAAAUUCAAGUAUUGUAAAUUUUACAUAAAAUCGAAUUCAAGUGGUAUUAAAAUGAGAUUGGUAUAAGCAAAAAAAACCACCACGUCUCACCUAAUGGGGUGUGUAGAACUCAUCAAACAGUACUGCAUAAGCAACUCUACAGUCUCGCCAUUGUUCACUUUACUUCAUAAGUUCAUAUAAAUGAGAAAGGCAGAGGAGACCUUGGACAAAAUCUUAAGUUGUACCAAUAUAUAUAUAUAUAUAUAUAUAAAAUUGUACACAUAUAUAAUGAUAUUUCUAGUCAAUACAUGAAUGCACCAUAUAUAUACAUAUACAUAUGCAUAUAUAUAUAUAUAUAUAUAUAUAAUAGUAUAAGGUUUUGGAUUGCUUGUUUGUGUUUAGAACUUUGUGGCCUUCCAUGUCUGCUAAUGCUUGAGAAACUUUAGUAAAAUUUGAUGAUAAAUGUUAUGGUAUUUGUUAUUAUUGAUCCGCUAUCCGGUUAUUCGGUCGGGUUUCGGCCCGUAGCCUACAUUGUUGGCGCUCUGAGUUCGCAUGUGAGGUGUUCACGUCUUUCAAUGAGCUCGCACGGUGUGAGUUCACACCACUGUACAGAUGAACCUUCAAAUAAAAAACACGUGUUAAUUUUAAAGUAGGGUACGUGUUGGCAUACAUGAGGACCUAUCUACGACGUCACAUCCAUGAACAAUAACCGUAUCAUAUAAAUAGAAAAUUUAACCCUUCUAAAGUUCUAAAGGAGAUAUACACACAAAAAUACUCAACAAUAAAAUUUUUCCAUUCAUACAUGCAUGAUCCUUAUUGUUUUGCCUUCUCUUUGAGCUUUUGACUAUCUUUUUAAUUUAGUAUGGAGUUAAGUUUGAUAAAAUAUUUUUUUCCUUAAUUACUAAUCUUUACUGGCACACGGGUAAAAAAAUUAUGUAAUAAAUAUAUUGAUUAAAAUCAUGCAUGUCGUUUUGAGUUCAAAUAUAACUUGAUUUGUAUACGAGAAAAUAUUUUAAUAAUUUCAUAACUGAGACGAUGUCUAAUUGACCCGUAACACCAGUUCAGUAAAACACUUAAAAUAAGUACAUAUUGACAUACAACUUUUGGUUUGUCUUUUUUAAGAACAAAAAUAUCUUCCAUGUUCGUUUUAUGGUUCAUAUAGAGAAUAAUCUUUCCGAAAAUGUUUGAGAGCGUAAUAUACCUAUCUACCACUUAUGGGUUAAAUUUGUUUUUUUUAGCAUUCACUUUAUAAAUAAUAUAUAUAUAUAUAUAUAUUCAUAGUAUUAAAUUGAAGUGAGAUUUAAGGUAUUAUUUGUAAGCUUUAUAUGAUUGAUAGCUGAAAACAGGACAUUAAAGCAUCAAUGAAAAUGGGUGCCAAUGAGAUUUUAGCAUCUGGCAAUGGCAUAAUAAAAUCAGUUUGAUCAUUUCACACUUACAAACAAGAUUAUUGGUUCUUGUUUCACUCAACCCUUUAUUAAAUGAUUUUUAUGCUCCAAGUCCCUGUAUUUUCACAAGUUUAGAAUUUAAUCCUUUAAUUUUUAUUUGAAGGAACUUAAUCUUACUUUUUGGAUUUAAAAGAAAAAGAAAAAGCGAGUCCAAUUGUUAAUACUGUUAAAUUAUGGUUCAUUACAAUGUUGUUUUCUUUGUUACAUAGCUAUCUGGUGAGUACUUUUUUUUUUUUAUUUCAGAAUGUAAGAAGAAUUCUAACGGUGUUAAUAGUUGGAUCAGUAAUUUGAAAUCUAAAAGUAAAGUAACUAAAUUUCUAAAAAUAAAAUUAAGGAGACUAAUUUGAAAAUAGUGGCAAAACUUGAGAGUGUAUGUGGGAUUAAUUAGGCUCUUAGUCCUUGUACCUUUUUUCUGGAAUUUUGAAAAUUUGAUCUCUCUGUUUUAUUUCCAGAAAUUUAUUCCCUUUACUUCUUCGAUUUGAAAUUAACGUUCAAUUCCUGUUUAUGAAUUUUCGUUAAAGUUGAAUAUAUGAGAUUUUAAUAUUCAACGUUCCAAAUUAAAAAUAAAAAUCCAAUUAAUAGCAUAGAUUCAAAUUUCACAAAAGUCUUAAGAAUAAAGAGAAUUAAGGCUAAAUUAAACCAUGUAUGUGAGUCCAAAAUUUAUGGCCACAUAAUUACUAUGAACUAGUAUGCUUUUGGUCAUGAUGUGUUGGACUAAAUUAUAAUAUAUUUAAAGUUCUUGUACUCUUCACAUAUUUGGAAUUUAAUCUUCAUAUUCUUAUUUUUAAGAAUUUAGUCCUUCUAUUUUUCAAAUUUAAAAAUUUAGGUUUAUUUGUUAACACCGCUAAAAUUCUUCUAUUAAAUUUGUUGGUGUUUAAAAUUAAAAACAACAGUACUCACUUGGUAUCCAUGUAACAAGAAAAUGACAUUGUAAUGGACCUGAAUUUGAUAUAGUAUUUUAACAGUGUUAAUAAUUCUUAAAAGUUCCCAUCAACAUUUUAAUCAGAAUAAAGUAUUUGGAGUAACUAAUGACAUUAUAAAAGUUGAGGCGCCAAAUAAUGUAAAAAUUAAAAUAUAUAGAUUAAAUCUCAUAUUUGAACGAAAUAUAAGGAUUAAAACUAAAAUUUAACCAUUAUUAUAUAAUCUCAAAAAAGUAAAAAGAUUAGAACUAAAAUUUAGCAAUUAUAUAUUCUCAUGUAAAAAAAAAAGAGAAAAAGAAAUUGACUGGACAGGUGUCAUGUAAAGGAAGGUCCUAAAAAAUGAGUAAAUUAGUCUUCAUAUAUUACAUCAAAGAGUAAAUGGUUUUUCUAUUAAAAACCGGUCUCUAUACGUCAACAUGAGGUAUAUGUGGCACACCGUGUGUCAAUGUUUGGUUAUUUGGGUCACUUACACCAGUUUUUAACAGUACAAAUGGAUGAAAUUUUUAACAGAAAGGAUCAAUUUGCUCUUUGAUCUAAUGUACAGAAACUAAUUUGCCCAUUUUUGAGUAAAGAGGAUAAAAUAAAAUCUGACUCUUAGUACAAGAAUCUCUAUAAUACCGCAACCGGUUAGUGAAUAGCAAAGAAUUAAGAGGGUUUUGGUAUACUUUCACUUAUGCAAAACCAAGUUUGUUGUUUAACCUAAAAAUGGAAAGGCAAAAAGCUAAGACAAAAACUGAAGCAAUGGCCAAAGCAGUUAAAAGAAGAAAUCCAGCCUUUUUAACCAUGGUUGUUUCUUUUUAAUAACCCACACCUCCAAAUUAACUUAUUUUGGUUAAAAAUAAAAAGGAAUUUGGGUUUGGGUUAACUUUGUUAAGUGCUUUUUUAAUCUCAAAAUGGGAAAGAAGUUAAAACUUAAACCUUAAUUUAUUUUUUAACAGCAAAAUAUGUCUUUUACCAAACAAUUUCACUACAAAAUUGUGUUGUUAUUUCCUUUAGGUAAUGAAUGUGUGGUAAGAGUACUUUAAAAGGUCAUCACCUCUCUCCUCUGUUUCUUCAACUAUAAAUCAUCCUACAACUCUUUCCCUUCUCUUUCAUAUUCCUCUCCUCCAAUCCCAAAUAUAUUGCUUUCUUUUUGUUGUUCAUGCAAGCUUUCUCUUUCAUUUACAUCCCCCACAUCCCUAUUUGAUCUCAGAAAAUUCUCCAAAAGAAAAAAGGGUUUUUUUUCCUCACCUUUUUUUUUUUCAUUUUAGCUCCCCUGUUUUUCCUCUGUUUUCUCUUCUUUUUUCCUUCUGGUGGGUAAAAAAAAAUGUUCUCAAGUGUAUGUCAAGGUUUGCAAUUAUGCCUCGAGCCAAGGAUCGUUGAAUCACAUUUUUUGAGGCUGAAACUGGCUCCACCAACUAGUUUUCAAGACUCCAUUGAAACUCCCACGCCCUGUUUCACUAACCCUUCCGAACCCGAACCCAUUUCAUACCACAAUGAUUAUGAUGACACCGACAUUAACAUUACCGACGGUAACAACAACAGCGACAAUAUAAGCAAGCAAAAUGCUGAUAUGGGUGUGUGGAGUUUCCUUCAAUCCCUCGCCGGUCCCAAAGAUUCUACGGAGAAUAACGAAGUUUACGUGCACCCUCUCGUUAAAAGUUCAGCUUCUGCCCUAAGUAAAAAAAGCCUUGAAAUGUGCACCGAAAGCUUAGGCAGUGAGACCGGAAGCGAUAUCAGCGACGACAUUACCUUUGGGUGCUGCAGUCCAUCGAAACAUAGGGAAAAUUCGGUGACGAGACGAAUGAGUUAUAGUAGGAGCUUUCCACCGCCUUUGACAUCCAUUAGCGGUUCAAAUAUGAGUUAUAAUCCGUUAAAAACAAGGGAAAAUUUGGUGAUGAAAAGGAUGAAUCGUAGCAGCAGCAGCAGCUUUCCGCCUCCUUUGACGUCCAUUAGCGGUUCGAAUGGCGUCCAAGUCACGUCUCACCGCGAAGGCGGCCGGUUAGUACUUCAAGCCGUUAAUGUCCCUUCUUGUCAAACGUACUUCCAUGUAGAACGAAGUGAGGGAAGGCUUAGGCUUUGCCUUUUGAAAGAAACAACCGCUAAUACCCCAAUUUUCGAUGACAAAGAAGAAGAAGAAGAACGAGAUGAGGUAGCCGAAGAAGAUGAAGUUGUAGAAGAAGAUGAAGUACUUUAUGGAGAAAAUGGUGUUGUACAGGAUGAAAAUGAUGUUGUAGAAGAUGAAGUACUUUGUGAAGAAAAUGAUAUUUUAGAAGAUAUAGAUUAUGAAGAAAAUGGUGUUGUAGAAGAUGAAGUUGAAGGAGAAAAGUGUUAUUGGGGAGGUGAGGACUUGGAUGAAAAGAAUGGGAAAAUUGGGGAUCAAAUUGGAAAUGGGAAAUUGGCAAGGCUAAUAAGCUGCAAAGGAAAUGGGUGUGGGCACACAGGGUUACUUGAUUGGGAGCCAUACUUGGUGGCUACUUAAAAAUAUUUCUCAACCCUAACAAAGAGAAUUACUAGCAUUGGAUGUCACUAAUUUUUUUUCUUUCCAUUUUUCUAAUUUUUAGCUAUAAAAAGUUUGAGAUUACCAAUAAUCUUCCCUCCAUUUUCUUCCAUGCACUACUCUCUUUCUCCUUUUCCUAAUUUUUUUUUAAGAAAUUUUGUGCGAUAAAUUAUCGAAAAUCAAUAAUUUAACAAUUUAUAUUUUACCAACAAUAGAACUAGCUUAUUAAAUUUCAUAAAAUACGGGGACCGGAUUCUAACAAAUUAAAACAGAUAGACUAAUUUCUCAAAGAGAUGAAAUUCAUAAUCAACAAUACCAAAAAACCUAAUCCAAUUAAUUCUGACCCAAAUUCAUCUUGACCCAAGUUAAUUAUAAAAAAAAAAGUCAAUUAAGUGUAUCUAACCAAGACUUUGAGAGUAAAUGGCUUCAACCAAUAAUUCAAAAUAACCCAAUUAAAAAUACCUAAAUAACAACUCAAACCCAGAAUUAUCAUCAUCUAAAAAAAACCCUAAUUCAUAUAUAUAGUUUUACCUUCCACAUGGCAUAGAUUAAUUACAUGAAGCAUAACAACAUCAUUAUGAAAUAAGCAAGACAUAGCGACAGCAAUGAAGUAGAAAUGUAGGCUUAAAUUUCCAACCACCAAGAAUAGAUGAAAUGGAUGGUCCCGAUCAAUUAAUGGUGUUCCUCGUCGCUUUCAAUGGGGGGCAUAUUUUGUUGGACCAUAUAUCAUUUAAGAAAAAGGCCACUACCACAUGUAUGGUACGGUCCAAAGUUGAAAUUUUACCACCUCACUCUCAACCUUUUUACAUCUUCGGUAUCAACAACCUCUUUUUGCCUUGCAAAAUGUUUCUAUAAUUUUGGUUAUAUGAGAUAUUUUAAAGGUUAAAACCAAGGUCUUAUUCGUCUUUUUCUUUUAUUGUUUAGAUAUGUAUCGUCUGUUUAAAGAUCUCGUUAUAGAAGAAGAAACAUUACUUCAUCAUUGAUCAUGUCAUGUAAAAUUUGCAUUAAGAAAUGUGAUCUUGCCUCUUAAUCAAUUCAACCCGUUUCAACACUGAAUAAGAGAAACUGAUUUCCAAAUAAAAGCAGCGUAUUCGGUAAUUGAUUUACCAUGUUCCAAAUCACCAGGACAAUAUCUUUGUUUCCGACGUGACCUGAUCAAACGGCUACAGUCUCAUCAUAUUUAUCUUUUAAUCAUAGUCGCUGAUUUUAAAAAAGAUCUCAUGGGAUCUCACUAUAAUAAGAUUUCACCUGAGACGUUGUUGUUGAUAUAUGAUAGAAUCCUUAUCUCCCAAUGUGUGGGUGAGAUAAUUUUUUCCUUUAAAUAGUGGUUUUCAUUAUAAUAAAUAAAUAAAUUAUUUAUUAUUUUAUAUAAAAAAGAAUAUAUAUUAGCGGUUUUUUUUAUGUAUUAGUGUGGAUGAAAAUUUUAUUUAACAAAUUAAAAAAUGAUAUAAAAACCAAAUGUGGUUCUGAUUGAUAUGGUAAAGUUGAAAGGUUAAAAUUAAGGAUGAUUUUUUGGGUUCAAAUCCCGUCACAUGUAAACAUUUUUCUAAAUUUUAUACGAAAAGAUAAGAUUGCUCUCAAAAUAAUAUCUGUGCCUUUAUAAAAAUAAGGAGGCUUUGGUAAAUUCUCUACUGAGUUAGUACCCGAGUGACGCAAAUUCAGUAAGAUUCUUAAAUAUAGUAUAAAAAUAUAGAUACAUAUGAGUAUUGGUGUGUUUUAAAGUACUAUUUCGGAUUUAUUAAUAUUUGUAUAUAUUUAUAACAUAAUUUUUUGUUGAGGUGCUAUAAUUGAAUUAAAGGAUAAAAUGUAAUUUUAUUAUAUUAACUUAUAAUAUUAUAAUUUUUAAAGAAAUUAUAUACCGAUUUAAAGUGGAUAAAGCUUUCGUUUGUCUCUCGAAAUUACUACAGGAAAGCGGUAAAAGUAUUAUCGGUGCUUUUAUAUUAGGAGUUAUAUUUCAUUUUGAUUUUUCUAUUAGAAAAUGGAUAAACUAAUCUCUAUUUGUUGGAUUAAAAAGUAAAUUAGUCAUUCUGUUAAAAAUCCUAUCUAUUUCUAUUGUUAAAAACUGAUCUCUAUAAACCAAUAUGAGGUACACAUAGCACGCCAAGCGUCACUAUGUGGUUAUUCUAUACACCACUCCAGUUUUUAACAAUACAAAAAGAGAGAAUUUUUAAUAAAAAUGACUAAUUUAUUUUUUAAAUUAACAAACAAUGAUGAAUUUAAUAAUUUUUUUAAAUAAAUAGAAUAUCAUAAUUUUACCCAUGAAAGCAAAGUUUGAAAAAGUUGCCCCCAGAUAGCAUAGUCCUUGUGUUCCUAUAUUUAUUAUGGAUGGUUGGGGUUGUCUGCAACGGUCCAAGCUGCUGCACUGCGUCCCAAUAUAUUGUCUAAUUUAAGGUUAACGGUAAAUGCAAUGUAUACAAGUCCCUGUACUAUGUUACGGAAAACGCAUGAAGGGAUUUUUUUUUGUAAUAAAGAGAAAAUGUUAAUUUUAUGGAGUGAAUGGUAGCGUAAAGCAUAUUGUAUUUUCGAAAAGAGAUGUGUGUUUGAAUUUUGAAGAUAAAAUAUUUUAAAGGGACGAUCACAAACUCUGAAGAUAAUCGUAAAACAAAUAUGGAUCAUAUAAAAAUAACGUAAUGUUAGUUUAUUAAAAUAUGAAGUGAUACGCGUUUUACAACUGUUAUAAAAUAUGAUUAUUUUACAAGUUUUUUUUAAUGUGUAAGGACCUUUUUGCUCAUUUUUCAAAAUAUAGACACCUAUGCCCGAGCGAUACUUUUAAAUAAAGUUAGCACUUCACAACUAUGAUAGGUGGAUCUCUCAUUUUUUUCUAUCUUAUGAUAAUUCUGUAAAUAUGUUUUAUCCAUAGAAACAUCUAUUAUAAUUAGAUCCCGUGAGAUUCAUUUUAAAUUCAUGGUUGAAAUUAAAAGGCUAAAAAGUAACACUAAGCUACCAUUGAUCGUGUCAUUUAAGGUUUUGUUUAAAUAAUUAUACAAAAAAUAAGUUUCAAAACCAAGUAAGGAGAGAGAGAGAGAGAUCAAUUGUGGUUGUGGAAGAGAAGACACAUCUUCUCUCUUUUUCGAUAAUCGGUUGAACAUGUUCAAUGUUAGGGAUGGCAAUGGAGUGGGGCGGGGGCGAAUAUUACUAAAUCCAUCUGUCCUCUAACCUCUAUGGAUGUUAUAUACAUCUAUCCUCGCUUUGCCCCGCCCUAUUAUUUUAAAUAUUUUCAAAUUUUUUAAAGUCAAGUAAAUAUGUAAACGUAAUUCUUCAAAAAAUAUUUAAACAUAAACGUUAAAUCGUCAUUUCAAACAAAAAAAUUAGGUUAAAUUAUACAAUUGGUCCCCAUAAUUUUUCGUUUUGAGUAAAUUUUUUUCUUUUAUGUUCUUUUUAACUUUCCUUUAUUUUUUCCAUUCUCUUCUGCUUCUCCCUUUAUUUUCUUCCCUCCUCCAUCUCUUUUAACGUAAAGGAAAAAAAAUUUUACUCAAAACGAAAAAAAUAUAAGGCAAUUAAUGUGUUACAUCAGUUUGCCGUUACACCAUUAAUGGCAAUUGACACUCAAUGACUAAAACAUAACAUUUAAAACAUAAGUGAUUAAAAUAUAACCCGAGGGAACCAAAAGUGACUAUUUUAAUAAUUUAACUUGAAUAUCGAAAAGAAAACAUAUGGGGUUAGGGAUUUAUGGCAGUUAAAUUACAAUGUGGAAGAUGAAAGGCAAGUUGUUGGGGGUAUUUUGUACGAAGGGAGUACAAAUGCGUGGACACAGUCAUAACAAUUGGACCCACAAAGGGACCAACAUGCAAAUUGACCUCAUUACAACAUGAUCUUCCAUGUGCUUAGGUAGCUGCCUUCACUGAUUUAUAAAAAAAAAAAACUCCCAAUCAGUUAAAAAAGAUCCUGAUAUGAUUCGUGAGAUCUCUGUUCUACUCUCUCUAUAUUUCAUGUCAUGUGACAGACAAUUUCCAUUUCACAUUCAAACAUAUCCUCACAAUUCUUACCUCUACUUUAUUAUGUCUGUCUGAAAAUCCAUGUGUACUGAAGAUGAAAGAUCAUGGAACGAAUCAAAGCUAGAUAUUGGUAAACAGAAAAUUUCUCAUUUGUACAAAAGCAACACACUUUACUCUUUACUACAAAAAUUGGGAUGCCGAAAAGGUAACUUUUGAUAAAGGGUCGAAUUUGAUUGGUUGUUGAGUCGGGUCCAGUCGAGAUUGGGGAUAAUACAUCCCUUAGGAGCGGAGGACAGUGUCCUACCGUGGAGUUUGGGUAUCCAUACAUUCAGGUACUUUGCCUUUAGAAGUGGGACGAUGUAGAAAUUAUCUAAGGGUGGGUUUGAAUGGGCAAUUGGGUGCGGUGUGUUUAGCUUAUUUUUUGUCUCACGCUACAGUAUCACUACAGCAUCUAAUCUCACAACGCACCGCCCAUCCAAACUUACUCUAACAUAAGGCAUAUACUAUCAUUUUCUCUUGGGCUAAGCUAUUCGUUCACGUUAGUCUUGAAAUUUGAUUUUUUUUAAUUUAAUAUUAUGAUAUUUUGUUAGGUCAUUAUUUGAUUUGAUUUGCAGAUUGUUAGCCAAUAGAAUAUUGACAUGUGUCUUAAAAAACCUAUCUUUUUGAAAAAUUAUAAAAAUAGGAAAUUUUAUGAAAUUUGUUUUGUUAAUUGUGAAUUUUAGUAGAUUUAUUUUCUUUUUACGAAAUAAAUUACAGGUAUUUUAGAAAAUUUUAGGUUUUGUUUUAUAUUUUUCUUGAACUUUUAAGAAUUUUAUAUUUUUAUUUCACGUGCAUAAUAAACCUAAACAUAUAGUUAUUCAGAUUUUUUAUAAUUUCAAAAAAUAAUAAUAUAAAAAUUAUUUUUUAAAAAUAAAUUUCAAGUUUUAAAAUAAAUCUUAAUUUUCUUUAAUUAAAUGAUUUAUGAUCAUUUUAAAGAUUCAAAUAUUUAACAAUAUAAAAGUUUUAAAUCAAAUUUUAUAUAUUUAACCAAAUAAUUUGUACUCAGGGUCUAUAUGUUUCACUGAAAAUGACUUCCGAAAAAUGAUUUAUGGAAAAGGACUUAUUUUCCUAGAAAAGUUAAUAUUUUCUGGUGUUUGCAUGAAUCUGUGUAAAAUAUUUCCUGUUGUUUGACAGAUUUCUUAAAAAUAUUUCAUAAAGUUGUCUUCAAUUAAACAAAUACACAUUUGAGAUUUUUUUAUCUUUUCAUUCUGUAGUUGAGUUUAUUUUAUAUUUUACAUUUUUUUUUGCAUAUAUUAAAAAUACGUUGUUAAAUUCAAGUUCAUUACAAUGUCAUUUUUAGUUUUUAUUUAAAAAUAUGACAUCAACGAAAUUGACAAAAAAAUUAACAAUGUCAACAAUUGGACUUGAUUUUCAAAUCUGAAAAGUAGAAGGACAAUUUUUGAAAAUAAAAGUACAAAGACUUAUGACAUAUUUAACCUUUAUACUACAAAAUAUUUAUUAUUAAUAUAUUUAUAAUUGUAAUAAAUAUUUAUUAUUAAAAUAUUAAUAUUGAAUAUUUACAAUAAUAUGUGAAGAAUAUUAUUUAAAAUUAUUAUUAUUAAAAUAAAAUUGAAAUAUUAAAUUAAUUUAUUAAAAUAAUAAAUUAUAUUAAUUAUAUUAAUAAUUUAUUAUAUGACAAAAUAUAAAUGAUUAAAUAUGUAUAUUUAAUAAUAUUGAAAAUUAUAAUAUUUUAUAUUAAUAUUUUAAUAAUUUUAAAUACAUUUAAAAAUAAAAAUAAAAUUUAUUAUCAAUAUAAUAAUAUUAAGUUUGAUCUAAGUUAAUUUUUAUAUAAAAAUAAAAUUAUCUAUAGAUGAGCUCUUUUAUGGAAAAAUGACUUAAGCUUUUCCAAAUGGUAAGCUAUUUUAUAGGAAAAAUAGCUUAUUUUAUGUUGAUUUGUAAGUCAUUUUCUGUUGACCAAGCUGUUUUCUAUGAAAUAAACACAAAAAAAAUGCAGAAAAUAUUUUCCAUAAACCUUUUACAUAUAAAUAAACUGCCCUCAAUUUUUUAAUUAAGCUUGAGAAAAAUUUAUUAAUUAUCUAUUUAACCAAAAUUUUAUUUAAUUAUAAAGAUCCAUUUAAGAGCACUUUAUAUUGUGCUAGCCUCCUUUUUCUUUUUGCUCCCAAUCCAAUUUAUUUAAAAACAUGGAACUUUUUAAAAAAUAAAUUAUAUUAUGUUUUUUGAAAUUAUAUAAAUAUAAAUUUACUAGAAAUAAAUGUUAAAAAAGAAUAUAAAUAAAUUUGGACAACCAUUUGUCUAAGUUCAUUAUGUACAUAAAAUAAAAAAAAUAAAAAUCUUAAAAUUUAAGAAAAAUCUAAAAUAUUAGAAUGAAAAAAAAUACCUAGAAUUUAUUUUAAAAAUAAUUAUUGUAUUAUUAUUUUUUGAAACUAUAAAAAUAUAAAUUACUAAAAAUAUACGUUUAAAUGAACUUAGACAAAUGAUUUUGCCUAUACUUAAAUGAAAUUGGACAACCAUUUAUCUAAUUUAUUAUACGCGUGACAUAAAAGACCCUCCUAAGAUGAAUAAAUUUUCAUUUAAUCUUUUUAAAUUUUUAAAAAUUUAAAUUAGUAAAAGUAAAAUUGUACUUUGACCCCUUAAAAUUGAUAAAAUUUUGAUUUAAUCCUUUAAAAAUUAUAAUGAUACAGGCUAUUCAAAUGAUAAAAUUACAUUUUUACUAUCGUAAAAAUUAAAAUUUAAUUUUAACCUCCCAUAAAAAAGAGUUUCUGCCUUCACUCCUAGUAUACACAAACCCAAAAAAUUAUUAAACUGCUUUUAAAGAAAAUCAAGUAAUGGUAUGGCAUAAUCUCUAAGUACCACAUCAUCAUACUUUAGUAGAACCCAAAAUUAGGGACCAAAAUGAGAAAAGUUAUCAAAAGUCUAAAACUAAUAUGAGCAAAAUAAGAAAUUAAAAAAAAUGAAAAAAUACCAAUUUUAAAUACUAAACGUUGCUUUUAUCACUUCUCUUUUUAGCGUUGUGUGCUUGUAAAACCUUUCAUGCCCCUGCACCCACAUGUGAGCAAAAAAUCUCCUUAACUUUUAGGUCAAAUUAUAUGAAAGGUCCUUGUACUAUGUUAAUAUUUUUUUUGAUUUGUUUAGUUCAUUUAUCCUAAUUUGAUUAUUUUUAGUAUUUCUAUUUUUUAAAAUGUAUAUUUUCAAUCAUGAGACCAAUUUUUUUCCGAUAAAUCCCUUCAAAGUUUUUGGUGGCUUAUUUUUGUACAAGGACUUAUGGCAUAUGUUUCAGGGAUUGGUACGGGCAUUGACUCCUCCAAAAAUAGUAAAAUUAUGAUUUAAUUCCUCUUGAAAUUAUAAAGUUAAUAUAAGGUUAAAAUAUGUCGUAAAUUUUUGUACUCUUUAAAAAAUUAAAAUUUAAUCCUUGUACUUUUAUUUUCAAGAAUUUAGCCCGUCUAAUUUUUAGAAUCUAGGUCCAACUAUUAACACUGUUAACUUUUUUUUUAAGUUUAUUGGCGUGACAUUUUGAAAUAUAAAAAAUAUUCAUUUUGUAACCAUGUAGCCAAAAAAAAUAUGUUGUGAUGAAUUUGAAUUUAACAAAAAUUUUAAUAAUGUUAACAGUUGGACCUGAAGAAAAGUAAAUGGACUAAAUUCUUGAAACUAAAAGUUGUAAUACCCAAUUUUAGCCCUGGCUCACAAAAAAAUAAUAAACUCAAAAUAAUAAAAUAAAGUCUAAGUCCAGUACAAAAUUAUGUCAUUUGGCCCGAUCGGAAUGGUCCAUUACUUGAAAAGGUUGAAGGUCCAUCUACAAGCUUAUGGAAACAUAAUCUUCAAGGAUGUGCAAUCUUAGAAGAUAUGAUUUUAUAAUGUUAGAGAUUUAAUUUGUAGAUACCCUUUAAUCUUAACCGUUGAUGUAAUUGAUAUGUACCGUUGGAUUUGGGGAGGCUCAACUAUAAAUAAAGGCCUCUCCCUUCAUUGUAAAAAAAAAGAAGACUGAAGUGGGGAGUAAUAAUAAUUCUUAAGAAUAUUUACUCAAAUUUCUCUCUCUCUUGCGUUCUUAUUUUGUUGAUUUGUGUAUAAUGUAUUUAUUGAUUUGUAUAUUGUUGAUUUCAAAUCUCUUUUUUCCCUUAUUAUUCAUUUUCAAAUUUGUUUACAUUUUAUUUCGCCUUAUAUUUUUAUUUUAUUUUAUACUCUUUGUUUUAAAUUAAUUGGUCUUUGAUUAUUGAUGUUAUUUAAUCCUCUAUUUGUUAUUUUAAUUUUUUUAUUAUUAAAUUAAUUAUUUUAAUAUUAUUAAUACUAUUAUGUGGCAUCAUUAAUCUUGUAUCAUUAUUAUUAUUAUUAUUAUUAUUAUUAUUAUUAUUAUUAUUAUUAUAUUCAUAUGCAUGCAUCGUUUUUAUGUAAUAUAUAUUGUUUUAUAUAUAGUAUACGUAUGCUUAUAUAUAUUUUUAUUUUUAUUUUUAUUUUACUUCCUAACUUUUAUAUACAUAUAUAUACUUUUAUAUUUAGUUUCAAUUUUUUUUUUACUUUUGUAUAUAUGUACAUGUAUGUAUUUAUAUAUUUUUCUAAUGAAUAUUUUUAUAUAUAUACGCACAUGUCUAUGUUUUUUAUUUGCUUAAAUACAAACUUAUAUUUUCAACACAUAUGUUAUAAUAUAUAUAUAUAUAUGUAUAUUUAUAUAUAUUUUUAUUUUCAUAAAUGCAUUAUAUAUAUUUUGUUAUAAAUUCUAUAGUCCAAAAUUUUAUAUGUGUAAACCCAUGUGUAUGUCUUUUAUUCUUUAUAAUUUCAUGUAUAUAUUUUGUACCUUUUUUUCUUCUCUUUAUAUUUUUUUUGUUUAUUUCCUUCAUUUGCUUAUUGAUUUAUGUUUUCAUUUUAUAUUUUGUUCAUUUGAUACUUUACAUGUCGUUGUUUUUUAUGUACAUUAAUUUCGUUUAUUUCUAUGCCAUUGUUGUAUUUAUUAUUGUAUUUUACACUUAAUGUAGCAUUACAUCAUUUUUUACUCGAUUUUAAAAUUUUCAAAAUUGAGAUAAUACUGUAUUUAGGAUUUUCAAGGAAAUUGAGCCCUAACGUAUUGGGUUCCAAUUUUAUUCGUUAAAUCUAACAAUCGAGAAUUGCUCAUUAAUCAAAAAAUAAAAUGAAAAGCUUGUUGUCGGGAAUUUAAUAUGUUGUAUCUUAACGUAUUGGAUGUGACGUAUUGAUUUCUCGAGACAAAGAUUUUUUAAAAAAAAACAAUAACAAAGGAAAUAUUCCAAGUUUAGGAUUUUGAGAAAUUGUGCCCUAACGUAUUGGGCCGCGAUUUCUUUAUAAAUCUUAAACAAAUGAAUAUUCUUUUAAAUUUUAUUACACGAGUAUUUUGGACUAAUUCAUUUUUGAGGAAUUAGAAUGUCGUGCCCUAAUGCAUUGGAUGUGACAUUUUCUUUCUCCGAAAUGAUAAGAGUCUUAAUAAGUAACGUUUUUUACGUUUUUAUUAAGGAUCAUAUUUUUAAAUUUUCGACAUUAAGACACUAAUUAAUUAACUAGGUAUCAAUUUUGGGCGUUACGAGGGUGCUAAUCCUUCCUCGUACGUAACCGACUCCCGGAUCCAUUUUUUUAAAACUCGUAGACCAAAGCUAUUUUUUUAGGUGAUCCAAUCACACCUUAAUAAAAGAUUGGUGGCGACUCCCAAUUUUUAUUUUUUUAAGUCGACUAUUAAUUUUUGUUUUUUUUUUCAAAAUAGAAAUGAUUUCGACAAAAGUAUAAAGAUAAAAUUUUAAAUUUUCAAAGAAUAUAAAAACUAAUACCAUAUUUUAAUCUUAAUAUAAUUAUAAACUUACAUUUUAAACCCCUAAAAAUUUAUAAUUUAAUUAUGCUCUCUAAAAUGAGUUCUAUCCAAAAAGUUGACUUCAAAACUAAAAUACAUCUUAUAUAUAUAUAAUACUGGGUAGGGAAUGGGUACACGAUUUGAACCCGUUUCAAGCAAGUAUUUGACAAAAGUUUUAACAAUCACUCCAUAUUUAAGUCAAUUCCCAGGAAUUUCUCAUCAAAUUACGAGACUAAGAAUAAUUAAAUUAUAAAUUUAUCAUCAAAACCCAAUUCCCAGGAAUUUCUCCUUUUUAUUAUCAAAACAACAUCAAAUAUUGUUGUAGUUUUGUUGGCUGGGAGAAGCCAUGUGAUUGAAAGCAAUGGGAAGGUAUCUUUUUCAUUGCUACUAUUAUCAUUCUUCAUUGAAGGACUUAACAGGUUAAGACCUUGCAGAAAACCUAUAUAUAUAUAUGUAUAUAUUGAAUGAGAUGACUGAAGAGUCUAAUAUCUAUUUUUACUAUUAAAAUUCAAUCCUAUCUCAUUUCAGGUUCCAUAAAUUAGAUAAAACAAAUGUCAAAUAUAGCUUAGUCCAAGGACUUUUUAGCAAAAGUUUCUAACAGUAGAAUAAGUCAAGUCCUUUAGCUGCUUGAGUUGAAUAUGUAAAUGAGGCUUAUUGGGGGUGGGAUGUCUGGCAUAGCAAAUUUGGUCUAAUAUCUGGUGCUCCAACUUCUAUAAAUUGUAACCGAGUCCCUAAUGUAUCAAUAUCAUAUCUCGUUCGGAGUAUAUUUGAAAUAUGUGGAUUAUUUAUAUAUAAAUACUUUAGAUUUGAUGCGUUAAAAACUCAAAUAGUACUGAUAAAUUCUAGGAGAGUUAUCUGUUAACACGCUAUAUUCAAAUUGUCUAUACAGUAGAUACACACGUGUUUAUAAUUUAAUCCACAAGUUUUAAAUAUGCAUUUGAGCUGGUAUUUAAUGUGUAAACUAAUAGUUCGGUUGAUAGGAAAAAUUAAUUGAUAUAAUAUUGAUAUUUCGAGUUCAGUUUAAACGCUUUGAGAUAUAAGAAUCAAUUUAAAAUCCGAGUAAUAGUUCAAGAACAUUUGGUGGAAUUAUCCCCAAAUUAUUCAUCAAAACAUUAUAGUAACAUGAAUAAAACAUGACAAAUAGUUUAUCCAACAAUUUCUUUUAAUAAGAAAUAAAUAACCAAAUUUUUGGGUCAAGCAGUAAGAGUUUAAUACAUUUUAAGUAAAGUUUCGGAUCUACAUCUUAUGGAUAAAAAAAUAAUGUUAAAAGAAAAAUUUUUCGUAUUUAAAAGUCUAAUCUAAUUUGACUUGAAAUUUAACCCGAACCCAACAUCAUCAUCGGAUACUAAAAAAUCUAAAAAAUAAACCAGUUAAUGUCUACUCCUUUUGAUUUUGUCAAAUAAUUGAUUUCAUUGGGAAAGGGAGUGAUUUUUUUGUCCUUUUACAUUAAAACCAUUGAAGUGUAGAGACAAGCAUAUAAUAUGUAACCUCAAACAUGAAAAUUUUGCCUACCAUAUAAGCCUUUCAUACAAGGUUUUAGUGAAAAUAUAUUGAUUUUAAUACCAUGAUAGCUAUGGGAAUCCAAUAUAAAUGCAUUUAUGAAAAUAAACAAAUAAAAAAUUGAGCCAAAAAACCGAAUUUGUGUAAAAAUUCCUAGUUAGUAAUGAAUUUCCUUUUAUCUAAUCUGUACUUAAAUUUGCAUUUCGUCAUUCAGGUUAGUACUUUUGCACUAACAUUAUUAGUUUGUGCUAACGUGGUCACUAACAUCCAAUUUGUUGAGGCACGUGGCAGAUAUUAAUUAAAAUUUUAAAAAUAUAUAAAUUAAUUUAAAAUUUUAAAGUUUUUCACAUAAAAAAUGAACUGAGACAAAUAGUUGUCAAAAUACAUUUGAACUUGGACAUCAUUUGUCCAUAUUUAUUCUGGAUGUAUUUUUAGUAAGUUUAUAGAUUUUUUAUUUCUUUUUCAUAAAAUACUAGUUUUUAAGUUAUUGUUAUUUUAAAAAUAUAUAAAUUUAUAUUCAAUUAAAGAUAGAUAAAAAGUACAUAAUAUAUUGAAAAAUAUAUAAAAAAUUACAAUAUAUAAUAUAUAAAUAUAAAAAAACUUUUAAAUUUACAAAAAUAGAUAAAUAGAUAAAAGAACUAAAAUCACAUCUACAACGGAUCUAGACAAAUGGUUAUCAAUAUGCAUUUGAAUUUGACAACUAUUUGUUAGGCUUAUUUUGAUGUAAAUUUUUUUUUAUAAUUUAUAUUCUUAAAUUUUAAAAUAAUAAUAACCUGAUAUUUUAUAAUAAAAUAAUAAAAAACAUAUAAACUUACUAAAAAUUAUCUGAAAUGAAUCUGAACCAAUGACUGUCCAGAUUAAAAUGUAUCCGGAUAACCAGUUGUCUAAAUUCAUUUUUAACAUGAAAAAAAUACAUUUUUUAAUUAAUUUAUAUAUUUCUAAAUACUUUUUAAUUUUUUAAUAAAUGAUUGUCAUAUAAUCAUUAAAUAAAUGAAAAAGUUUUAAAGGUUUUGGGUUUAUCUCUCAUCAUCAGCAUUGACGAGGAAAGGGUUUUAAACUUUAGUACGGCACUACAAAAGCCAUAGCCGCUCACAAAUAUGACGACGUAACCAUAAAAAGAACAAACCUGCAGCAAAGAUUUGGUUGUCUUUGUCUCUGUGCAGAUGACAAGGCAACAAGUAUGCCUAGUAAAGUUGCAACCUCGUAAUUAAUACACGACAACGUCACGCAUUAAGGAGGACCAAUAAAAAACCUUAAAAAUACUGCAACGACGAGUCUUAAAGGUAUAUGCCGACAAAUUUUUUAAUUUAUUUUUCAUUCUUUGUAAUUAAAUUUCAUCAUUAAUUUAAAAAAAAAAAUCAAACCACUUAUUUUUAAGGGAAAUACAGAUAGAAGCAUUAAAUUUUUAACGAUAUUAGCAUGCAAUCCACGUAGUCAUUUAUUUAUAUUUCAUAUUAAUAUGUUACGUUUAUAAAUAAUUUGUAAAUUAUAAAAAAAAUAUUUUUUUUUUCAAAAAGUUGAUCUAAAUUAACUUUUUUUUAAAAAUUUAAUAAUUAAAUUUAAUGAAAAAAUAAAGAUAAAUUUGGUAAAAAUAUAAACUUAAUGACUAAAUUUAUUGUUUUAUUCCAAUGGUGGGCUAGGCCUCAUCGUGCCAACAUCAAGACUAUUUGUAUACGUAUAUCCCCACCAGUUCUUGUGGCCUUGCUCUCAUUUUACCCACUUUUCCCUACGCGUUCAAAUUCAUCUGUCAUGUUAUGUGAUAAUAAUAAUGUGUCGUAGACAUCCAUGUCACCAACCUAAUCCAUUUUUUUAUUCGAUUUAAUCCGUUUGAACCUUGAAUACAACAUUAUUGGAAGGAGCAACAACGAACCCCGAACAUAGACAGUAAAAUCAACAUACAAAAUAUAAAAAAAAUGGUUUCAUUGUGGUUAAGUUGUAAAGCAGAAAAGGUUUUGAGGUUUUGAGUUGGUGUUGGAUAUUUAAUAUAAGUGUUAACAUCACUAUUAACAUGCUGUGUAUUAUAGUGAUACAGCUGUGAAACUCAAUGAGCUGUGGAAGUGGAUAAUAAUACCUUAUAGGUUGAUAUGAAUCAUUUCACUCAGACCACCCAAAGUUGGGUGGGGGUUAUGUGAUUGCUAAGGUGGUGUGGAUUAUAGUGGUAGCUGUGAAGCUUCUUAAGUUUCUCCUUUGAAUCUUGCAUAAGCUAUUGAAGCCCAUUGUGCCAACAUAAGUGAGAAUUGCUCAACCGGUUCUUUUGAGACAAAUGAGUAAAGCCAAUAUAUGCUAAUUGAGGACCAAGUCCAUUUUUAAUUAUCAACCCACAAAUCUUGAACCCAUAAUGGAGUAGUAUUGUUAUCUUCUAGCUCUUGAGCUCAUUUUCGUGUUAUUCUAACAUCAUGAGUACAUUUUUUACUAAGAGUGAUCAUUUUGUGAGUUUAAGAUUUCGCGACUAUACCAUCGAGAUCACAACAUUGAUAUGGAUAGAGUAUCUGUCAUUCACACAUCAUAUAUAUAUGUUUGUUAUCUUGGUAUAAUAAUUCAUACUUACGAUGAUAAAAUAUUGAUAGGUCAACUAAAUCUCAAAGAGCCCGGAAUCAAUGCAUAGACAACACGUGGCAUCUUAGGAAAUGAUUAGAGAUAGCCCAUUAAAAGCCUACAAAUAUCAAGAUAGAAGGCCUAUACACUCUCUCUCCUCUAAUUUCCUCGGCUCUUCCUCUCAUCUCCUCUCUUGCAACCACAUUUUGAUUACCUUAAUUCUCUUACGAUUCUCCGCUAUUCGAGUGAAUCAUCACUAACUACCACAACUUUUUCCUUGUAUAACAAGUAAUAAUUGAAUUUAAUGUAAAUGAUAAAUAGAUUCGGAUAUUGAAAUAAAUUUACAAAUUCAAAUUUAAAAUUCACAACAAUGAAAAAUACCCAACCUAUUGAUCCAAGUUGAGAGCAAUUUAUUGCAUGUGAAGAAAAUGAAUGUUAAAAUAUGCCAUUAGUUUUUGGGCUUUCACAAAACUUAAGAUUUAGUCGUUGUACUUAAAAAUUUAAAAAUAAGGUCCUCCUAGUUUUUUUAUUUAAAAACAUUUUCUAUCAAGAUUUGUCAAUUUGGAAUUUUGAUUAGGUUGACCUCAUGUGAUGUGGCACAUGAUUAACAAGAGAUAAAAACUAUAAGUUGGCAAAAUUUGGUAGAAACUACCAAUGACGAUAAUUAUGGACUAGGAUUUUUAAAUAGAAAAAGUAAGAUUAAAAUUUUAACUUUUAAAGUAUAAGGACUAAAGCUCAAAUUAUAUACAAAUACAAGGAUGAAUAGCACAUUUUAACCAAAAAUGAAUUGUACUCCCCUUCAUUAACGGUCCUCGGGUAUGUUUCAGUCCAUUGGGCCUUUUGGAGCCCAAAAAUAUGAAAUUAAUCCCCUGAUAUUGCUGGAUUUUAAAUCCAUGCAGGAUAGCGCGAAAUAAACGGUGCCGUUUGAUCUGCCUUCCCUAUUUCUUCUCCCCUAAUGCUAAAACCCUGAUCAAAUGCCUUACGGAUUCAACAAAAACACAAUGUUGAUGCGCUACGUUCGUUCGUCCCUCAUCGCGUCGCGUUUUUUCUCGACGGCAGCGUCGGUAGAGAAAGCAGUACCAACUAACGAAGUCGCUCCGAAAAGCAGCGGUGGAGGUCGACGAAACACGUUGGGACGGAGGCUUAUAGGCCUUGUGUAUCCGAAACACAGCGCUGCAGCUACAAUACAGAAAUGGAAAGAGGAAGGUCGUACGGUCAGAAAGUAUGAGCUCAAUAGAGUCGUUCGAGAGCUUCGUAAGCUCAAGCGCUAUAAGCACGCCCUCGAGGUAUAUGCUUGCUUUAACUUUGAACUUAAUUUUCAUUUUCAGUUGAGAACUAUCCCUAUUUCUAAAAUGUCCUAUGUUGCUCUUUUUUUUGAGUAGUCUGAAGUAAAUGUUUCGUUCUAAUUAUGAAUUCCUGAAUUUAAUCCAUCUAUUUUAAUUUUUCAGAAUUUGAUCCCCAGAUCUGUAGAACUAGUUUAGCCAUCCAUAAACGCACGAUCUCCUUGAACUAAUGAUUUUUACUAAUUCUUUGCAUAUGAAUCUGAAUUUCAUAGCAACUAAGAAGGACUAAGUUUUCAGUUUUCAUAGAGGGAAAAUUCGUAAUUAAACUCCGGUUUGAGAUGAGAAACCAUUUAUACAAUUAUUACUGCAUGUUAUAGCUGGGUUUUCAAAUUGCUUGGCCUUAUAUCACCAUAGUUUAUUUUAUUGUAGAUAUGUGAAUGGAUGAGAUUGCAGAAAGAUAUCAAGCUCUUACCAGGUGACUACGCCAUUCACUUGGACUUAAUUGCAAAAAUUCGUGGUUUAGAUAGCGCGGAGAAAUUCUUCAAAGAUCUUCCAGACAAGAUGAGAGACCAAGCCACAUAUACAGCUUUGCUCCACACGUAUGUCCAGAACAAGUUAUCGGGUAAAGCCGAAGCUUUAAUGAAGAAAAUGUCUGAUCGUGGUUUCGCAAAGUAUCCGCUUCCGUACAACCACAUGCUCUCUUUAUACAUCUCAGAAGGAAAACUAGAAAAGGUCCCUGAAAUAGUGAAGGAACUAAAGAAAAAUGCUUCACCAGAUAUCUUUACUUAUAAUUUAUUGUUAUCUGUUUGUGCUUCCCAAAAUGACAUCGAAGCUGCCGGGAAAAUCUUUGUCGAGCUAAAGGAGGCGAAAAUCGAGCCUGAUUGGGUAACAUUUAGUGCAUUGACCAAUCUGUAUAUCAGAGGAAAGCAAAUUGACAAGGCAAUGUGUACUUUGAAGGAAAUGGAGAAGAUGGCAACUCGGGAAAAUCGAGUUGUUUAUCCCUCCCUUAUCAGUUUGUACACAAGCAUGGGGGAUAAAGAUGGGGUUCAUCGAAUCUGGAAGAAGAUGAAAUCGUGUUUCCGUAAAAUUAGCGAUACGGAAUACACAUGUGCGAUAUCGUCGCUUGCGAAACUCGGGGAAUUUGGAGAAGCUGAGAAACUGUAUAGUGAAUGGGAGUCUGUUUCCGGAAGCGGCGAUGCUAGAGUUCCAAACAUACUCCUCGCAGCUUACAUAAACGGAGACCGAAUCGAAAUGGCUGAAAACUUUUAUCGGCAGAUUGCACAGAAGGGUAGUUCCCUGUGUUAUACCGCUUGGGAACUUCUUACUAGGGGCUAUUUGAAGAAACAAGAAAUGGAGAAGGUAUUGGAUUGUUUUAAGCAAGGUGUUAGCAGUGUGAAAAAAUGGAAUCCUAAUAACAAAUUGGUUGGCGAAGUGUUGAAGCAGCUUGAAGAGCUCGGUGAUACCGAAGGGUUGGAGAAAUUGUUGGUGAUUCUUCGAAAUGCUGGGCGUGUGAGUACUAUGGUAUAUAAUUCGCUUCUUCGAGGAUAUGCAAAUGCUGGUAAAAUGCCGCUUGUAGUUGCUGAACGAAUGGAGAAAGAUAAUGUGCCAAUGGAUGAGGAAACGCAUGAACUAUUACGAUUAACAACCAAAAUGCGCCUGUGAAGUUUCAAGCAGUUUUUGACGAGUGUUAUCGGGCAGAUGGAUAAUCUAUUUUGCGAUUUAUUUUCUAUUUUUAUGUCCGUUUUACUGUUAAUGCUCGGGUUACCCUUUCUAUCAAUAUCGUCUCCAAAGUUUAAAUUUGCAUUCAAUGUUUGGGAGUGGAAUGGACUUUAUCAUUACACCCAACACUUGUUGCCUACAUUUACUCCCUACCAUAAGUAGGGUUGCCUUGUGAUUUGAACCCACGAAAUUGGUUUUUGUAAUUAUAGUUUACUACGAAAAUUUUAUCAAAAAAUUGGUAGUUAAAAUUUUCAAUAUGGAUUCAAACUCAGCUAUUUGAUUGAACAGAUUUGAGUAAUUUGAUUUUUUUUUUAAAUUGAAUUUUAUUUUGAUCUGUUUAGAUGUGAUGUGUUAAAAAAAACAUAUUUAUUUAAUUUUGUGUGAUUUUUUUUUUUGUUAAUAUGUUAAUCGUACAAUAAGUAUAAAUAAGAUUUUUAUCUAUGUGCUUAAAUCUAGUUAGGGUUAAAUCCAAACAUAAACUGGUGGAAGAAACUUAGGGUGAGUUUGGAUGGGCGAUUGGGUAAGAUGCGGUGCGUUUAGCUUACUUUUUGUCUCACGCUACAGUAUCGCUACAGUAUCUAAUCUCACCGCCACCGCUGUUUUUACACUAAUCACAGGUAAACGCACCGCCCAUCCAAACUCACCCUUAUUGAUACAAUACUAUGGGGAUUCAAUUAAAUGUUUUGAAGUUAAGGGCUGGUUUUAAAAUUAAAGCUAUAGUUUGAGGAAGUCUAAAGAAAUUAACCCAAUAAAAAGUCAAAGAAAGUCAAAAGAGAUAUUUUUAGGUUAUAAAAUAAGCAACAAAGCAGGAGAUUUCCUCCCUUAAGGAUUAAUGAUUUGUAGUACUGAAUAUUUUCUCGCUACUGGAAAAUACGGUCAUUUUUUUUUUUUGCCUCCCUCUUUCAGUGGACAAUGGAAGCAACUCUUCUUGGCUCUCAUCGGUUAAACCCUAGCCUCUUAUCAACGAAACCGCUUAAAAUUCCAGGUUAUUCUUCCCCCUGUUUGGUUCCUUAGAAAAUCUAGAAGUAAAAGGAGUGUAUGUUUAAUAAAGAAGCGUUGAGCACCGGUUCAAUUUUUUGAGAGUUUACAUCAGUUUUCAGCAUAUGCGUAUGAUUUUUGAAGUGAUUUUAUUUACAGGUUAUUGAAAGUUGGGCUUUACUUCGAAAAGACUUAGUUAAACAUGCGGUUUUGGUUAAUUGGAGCUAGUUAUUCGUGGCUAUGAAUUUAAUUCGUAAUUGCGGUUUUGAUUGGAAAUGCUUUGAAUUCGUAAUUUAACCAUGUUUCAUUUUCGGAACUUAAUUUAGCUUGGAAUAUUUCAAACAUGGGGAGAAAUAGGUGAUGUUAGAAGCUGAAUGAAUAAAAGCUACAAUACAAUUUUGGUGGAAAGGAUAGAAACUUGUCAGGCAUACUCGGACAUUUUACUUAAAAUUUUCUAGCUUUAAAUUGGUUAUACUUCUCUCUAGCUGAAAUGAGCUAUUGGAAAAGAUACAAUGUUGACUUCUAUGAUGGAAUAAUGAUGUGUACUGAAUAUUUUACUAUGACUUGGUAUGCAGAUGGACAUGUGGCUCGUGACCUACGGUUUUAUCAUCCACUUCGUGCCAAAGCCCACCGGACUCUCAAGAUGAAAUUGGUGAACUCAAGUAGAAGUCAUUUCGUGCUGCCAAAUCGAUGGUUCCGGUCAAGAACAAGACGCGAAUGGUCUAGCAAUUCGUCUGAUCAGCUUCGAAGCGACUAUGUAAAUGUCAAAUCAUCAUCUUCAGAGUCUCUAAACCUGGAAGUUGUUCCUUCAAGUUCGGAUGAUGGGGCUGAUAUUUCCGAUUACAAUGUUGUUAAUAACAUUGAGACUUCACAUGUUAGACCAAAAUAUUUUAGAAAUAGGUUUCUAAAUUUUGUACGGUUGAGUUCUGUCCUGAAUAAUGCUGCGGAAUCAUUCUUUAAGAGUGAGAUUCGGAGGAGGCUGUUUGUGACAGCUAUACUUCUUGUAAUUAGUCGUAUUGGAUAUUUCAUCCCUCUACCUGGAUUUGAUAGAAGGUUGAUACCGCAAGACUAUCUUAGCUUUGCCUCUGGGUCUGUUGGUAAGUUCUGUAAUCUAGAAGAAAAACUUGCACCCUUUUCCUUUCCUUUUAAGCUAUAUGGAGUUUUAUCUGCAUUUUUGGUUAGUGUUGUUAAUUAAUUUGUCUAUAACAAAUGCCUGGCCUUUUAUUUUUCUUUUGGUAGAUGACCUGGGUGAUUUUUCUGCGGAGCUUAAACUGUCCUUUUUUCAGCUUGGUAUCAGCCCUCAGAUAAUUGCAUCUAUAAUUAUGCAGGUUUGUAACUUUUCUUUGGCCAUAUAUGAUUUCUUUUCUUGCAUGAUUGUGUAUACUUAAAUUCCUUUUUUUUUCUUCUUUUAAUUUCAUGCUAUGACACCUAUUUGCCACCCUCAUUUUUAUAUGUCAAAGUGGAGAUGGAUAGAUGUUGAGGAUGCUUGCUAUGUUCUUGCAAGACGGAAUUAUUAUACAAAUGACCAAAAGCUAUUUCCUUUAGUAUGAAGCUCUUAUGACAAGCCUAGUUUUCUUUGGUCCGUGUUCUAGAGUUAAUGGUACAUUAGGAUUCUGGAGUUGCUUUUUUUUUUAGUUGGAAAAUUACUAAUUUGUGAUCAGAUAAAUGAUGGGACUAGGAAUUCCUUCAAAUUAUGCAGUGUUGCUCUAUGAUCUAUUUAGGAAUGGUUGUAAAAUUUUCUUGUUCGUUAGUCCUGGUAACCAUCUUCUAUGAUCUCAAUAGACAUAUUUGUUAACUUAUCAUCAAAAAGGGGAAAAAAAGGGCAUGCUUUCCUUGCCAAGAGAAAGAUACCCCAUAGUAUCCUGCUUUUGGCCUAAGUUUCUUUUAUUUUUAUGGGUUCUUUUGUUUGUUGCUUUCUCAUGUGCGUUCUCUUGUACCGGUUGAAAACAGGUACUCUGUCAUGUUGUUCCAUCCUUAGUGAAGUUGAGGAAGGAGGGGUUGGAUGGUCACGAGAAGAUUAAGAGUUAUAUGUGUGUCUAGUUUUUCAUCUCAAGCAGUGAGAAGAGCCCUUGCUACAUGUAUAGUUCUUGAUAAUAUUAAUUGGACAUUUACAAAGCAUGUUAUUUUUUCUUUCUAUUGCAGAUGGUGGAUUUCACUUGGCUUUGCAAUAGUAGAAGCUGUUAUAGUUGCUUGUUAUUCUCUUCAAUAUUCAAUUUAUGCAGCCAGUUACAGGUACUUUAGUAAUGUAAACAUGAAAGCAACAAUUUCUGAUGCUAAGAAAUUGGUAUGAUAUGAAACAUAUUCAGCCUUUUCCUGGAAUGAAAUUACAAAUCAUUUUUUCUCCAGUGUCCAUCCGUUUCCUCCUUCUAUAUGCUAUAUUUGACCUUUUAUCUGUAAGCUAAAGUCUAUGGUUUUUGUAGGGUCAAGCAUGUGAUGGUGACUGCUUUUCUUUUGGUUUGUGGUGCAAUGACUAUGACAUGGAUCUGUGAUACAAUAUCAGAAUCUGGAUUUGGUAUCUUUCUUAUCACAUUUAUUCCUUAUUUGUUGUUCAUUCCAAUUGUUACAGAGAAGUUUUUUAAUUUUAAGAUAAUAAGAACAACUGACCAAAUAAAUAUACUGCUAGUAUUUUUUUUCUCUAGAAUUUAUAGUAACUCUGGAAAUAGAGCUUGAAGCAAAAACGUUUAAUUGAUGUAGGAGACCUUAUUUGGGAUUGGAGGAAUUGAUUGGAAAUAGUGAUAAUCUUCUCAUGUAUUCACCUUGAGAUAGGGAAAUAUGCUGCUAUCCAAGAUUAUAGACGUUUUUAGAAAAAUGAGUUUUAGCAGUUGUAGAAUACAAGAAAUUCAUUAAAAGUUUUAGCUUCUUAUGGUCUUGAAUUCAGCCUUUUGGCUUGUCCGUGCCUAUAUAUACCCUGUUUUCUUACAUUUUGAAAGUGAUGAAAUUGCAUAAUUUCUUUGAGUUGCGAGUGUUGGUAGCCUUCUUAGUCCAUUGUCGUGUGUUUCAGGUCAAGGUUCGUCUCUAAUUAUAUGUGUUGGAAUAUUAACCGGAUACACUGAUACACUGUACAAGAUGUUGACUCAGCUCUCAGGUAUGUCGUAUCCGCUGACUGAGGUCUUAGUGCUGUUUAGGUUGGGUGGAGAUUUUGUCAGAAUUAUAAUUAUUCAGUACCAAAAACUGUCAAGUUUUAAAAGUAAGAAAUGAUUACAGGAUUUCUCUUUUCCAUGCAAAAUUCUUAAUAGUAUUAACUAAAAACACCAAGCGAUUAUUUAUUACAAAAAUGAGCCUGUACCAAAAUUUGAUUUCAGUGUAAAGAGUACAUUCUGUAGCUAUUUUCAUAAAAGUAAUCAUAUAUGUGGAUUAGAGGAAGGUAAGGAAAGUGGUGCAAAAAUAGUACCUGUACAUCAAUCUUUUAGUGAUUAUUGCUCUAGUCCAAUAUAGAAACUGCAACGAUAUUUGUUUUUCCGUAGAUGUGGAUAUCAACAGAGCAUGUACAUUCAGAAUAUCUUGAAACUAUUCUGUGUUUUCUGUAUUUUUUUAAGUCUGCAUCAGUAUUGGUUUCUUGCUUCCCCAGGAAGUGCUGUGGGUUGGUGGCCAUACAUGCUUGCUGUACUGGGUGUUUUCACUGUAGUCACAAUGUGGGCCGUUGUUGUUACUGAGGGUUGCAGGAAAAUAAAGCUGCAGUACUACGGAUUUAAACUGGCAUCUGCCGCAAGGUAAAGUCAGUGCUACUUGCCUAGACAUUAGAUGCAUUCUGUGGAGAGAAUAGGCUUUGGUUUCAAUCGUUCUCGGUGCAGCAUUGAUAUUAUAUUUUCUGGCUAUUCUGAGCAGCGGGCAAUAACUAAUUUUAUGAGAACUAGGACUUUAGUUGAACUCAUUUAAGGAUAUUGUAACUUUCUCUGUUUGUAUAUUAACUUAUGAUAAAUGGUCAUAUGAUCUUUCUGAUUGUCACUUUUUCUUAAUUUUGUGUCUUGGACAGGGAAGAUUCCCCAAUUACUGAAGUAGAACCCUAUAUUCCUUUUAAUAUUAAUCCGUCAGGAAUGCAGCCUGUUCUCACCACCACUUAUCUAUUGGCGUUUCCAAGUAUUGUUGCAAGGUAAUUGUGACCUGAAGUGAUUUAAAUACUUAUUUUGAAUCCUCUGUUCCAUUUGCAUUUUGGGGUAAUAUGCUUUUGAUGCAUUACAUAGCCUGGCUUUGUUGUUGUCUUGUCCUAUGCACUUCCCUUAAGGCUACCUUUUGUCAAAUUUCCAGCAAUUAUCUAACACACUGCAUUCUUUGCAGUAUCCUUGGUUCACCUUUUUGGGAGCAUGUUAAGGAGAUAUUGAACCCUGCAACAUCUGUCGGUGCAGAGCCAUGGGUCUACUAUUCAAUAUAUGCGUUUUUUGUUUUUCUGUUCAAUAUAUUUGAUAUUGUAAGUACUUUUGAACCUUGGUGGUUCUAAGUUUCUGAUGAUAACCUGCUUAUUGCCUGCUAUUUUAGUCUAAAUUGCUUCUGCUGCCAUGAUUUAUUUCUUCUGGCUAUUACUACCUGGGGUAUCUAUGCCAAUAGAAAGUAUUGUAUGAUUCUUUUUUUACUAUUAUCCUUAAUUUUGCUUUUAUUAUUAUUUUAAAUCAUAAAAUGGACUGCUGAGCUUUCAAUGAGAGACAUUGGGUACUUGGAGCAGGGAUUAAACUUUAUGCUUUGAUCCACUGUCUUAUAUAUAUUUUUAUUUGUAUACUUGGGCUAAACAUUCUAAUCUAUUAAUCAAUUGUUGAAUUUGUUAGUAUGCUAUGCUUGUUAUCGUGCAAUCUUGGCUCCUAUUAGUUUAUUCUAGUACUCAUUGCUUCUUUCUGUUAUUUAUGUGGAAACUCCUAUGCAGGCCAACUUACCGAAGGAAAUAGCAGAUUACCUGAAUAAGAUGGGUGCCAGGAUACCAAAUAUAAAGCCUGGGAAGGCUACUAUUGAAUAUCUCACAAAGAUUCAGGCAUCAACACGUUUCUGGGGUAUGUUUCUGUCUGUAAAAUAAUUACAGUAUGUAGUUGGAAGCUUAUGCCUUUGUCUGGGCAAUAUGUUGAACCUGCUUCUCAUUUCUUGAGGGAUUUUGGCUGUUUCUUGUCAUCACAUAUGCAGGAGGGCUACUGUUAAGUAUUUUGGCAACUACAUCAACCAUACUUGAUCAUUACUUGCGACAUAUCAAUGAAGGAUUUGCAAUUGGUUUUACAUCAAUUUUAAUAAUUGUAAGUACAAUUCUAGAGUCUUGUUUGUGCUGAUGCUCAGUUUUAUAAAAAAUGCUUAGAGCACUUGAUAGGAGACCAAAUCAUUACAGUUAGCAUUCUGUUCUACAUUUUGUCUAAUGCAUCCAUCCAUUUUGAUUAGGUGGGUUCCAUAAUUGAGCUAAGAAGAUCGUACCAAGCAUAUAAUGUCAUGCCAAGUUUAAGCAAAGCAUUGAGGCGAUAUGGGGUGUAACAUUUCAAGAGGUACUUCACUGCCUUGCAUUUUAUAUAACCUUAAAUUGUACUUCAUGCUUCAUACUGGCAAAUGAUUAGGAAAUAUUAUUCCCAUGGUGCAGAUAUCAUUCACACGUGAUAACAAUUUUGUUCAUACAGUUUAGUUGAGCCAAGUAAAAGGUAAAAAGGUUGAACUCGAUUAUUUAGUUGAUCAACUCACGAAGCAGGUUCCGAUUCUUUUAAUUCCUCCUUUUCUGGAUUUGAACAUGGCUUCUCUAGUAUAGUGUAUUAUGUGAGGAUAUGGCUUUUACUUCUCUGGUCUGAGAGUCUGGAUUUAGAACAUCAGGUGACCCAUGACCCAUCUUUCCGCAGGAAGAUACAGAGGGACCCGGUUUCCGUAGAUUAAGGCAAGUUGUAAGGUAAGGCAAUUUGAUGUAAAAUUUGAUCGAGAGACAAACACAAUGGCUGCAAUUUUUUAUUUAAUUUAUCCGUCUAAUGUCUGAAACGCACACGACUAGUUAUUGCAUCUUGUCUUGUAAGUGUAUGAACUGUAAUAUUGUCUAUUUGGUCUCUCAAUCCCGCAUUCAUAUGGCCUGACCUAUGCAUUUUUAAGUCUCCAAUAGUUUUUCUAUAUUACUAUUUUUUGGGUGCCAUUUCAUCCUUGCUGAAAGUAAAUUCUGGCUAUAAUAAAUGAAUGAAUUAACUAGCCACCGUAGUCUCUUGAUUCAAACUGCAUGCAACACACUCAAUACUUCAUAUGAAUUUCUAUGUACAAGAAUGAGAAGAAAAUCAAGUUGGAGUGGAGUGAUCAGAUUCCCACUUGAGAAAAAGUGCAUAGAGAAGCUCAUUCCACGAAUCGGGUACCCCCGGCAAGCACCAGUGGCUACAAUCUUCGCCCGGAGGUUCCGUUUCAUUUCCUCGUCCGAAAUGAUACAAAGAUGUAUGGCCAUCUUGUCUUUGAUAUGUCAUGGGAGUCACAUCUUGUACUAUCUCGACGUGUUCUUCAGUUUUAUCAGGAAAUGGACCAAAGUCUGGCAGCUUUAUAUGGUGACAAUGUCCACCAUUGCUCCAGGUACCACCUCUGAUUACAUCAAAGCCAAUAUAUCAACGGUGAAGUGUAUCCUUCAAAGAAACUAUCAAAAUGAACUCUAACUCAAUGACAGGAAGACAACAAAUAACUGAUUAAAAAAAAAAACCUGAAAUGUUGAGGAGCAUAGGUUCGAAAAUAAACUUGGGUCUUGCUAGUAUUUACUUUACUAUGAACAAAGUCAAGUAAUGUUUCAAUUGAUUUCCGAAAUGCUGUCCCAAUGUCCAUUUUUAAGUUCACCUGUGUUCCCUCUUGGAAAAAGCAGCCACUGCAAUAUAAAUUGAAAGAUUAGGGGCAUCAUUCAUUAACAGCUAUAGCGACAGGCGACAGACAAUAAAUUAUAGGUCUAAUUCUGCUCUUAGUUCCUAUACUCUUUGCAAAUUUAAAAUUUAGUCCUUUUAAUCUCAAGAAUUUAGUGCUCUAGUGUUUUUUUAUUUAAUAAUUGAAGUCCAAUUAAUAACACUAUUAAAAGACUUUGUUAAAUUGGAUUAUAUGCUUCUUUUUAAAAUAAAAAAAAAUUUACUCACAUGAAAAGCUAAAUAAACAAAUAAAAUUAUUGAACCCGAGGAUGAUAUUUUUUCCAAAAUUGAAUAUCGAGUUGUAAGAUUCUUCGGCACUGAUUCAGAGAAAGAAGAAGGAAAGACAAUACAAAUUUUUUUUUUGUGCUCACAUGAGUAUUUUUUUUUAUUUUAAAAAUUCUACAUAAUUCAAUUGAACGGAAAUCUUUUAACACUCUUAUCAAUUAAAUUUCAGUUAUUAACUUAAAAGAGUAAAGUGACUGAAAUUCCUACAAUUAAAAGAAUACAUUAAAUUAACAAAUAUGCAAAGAGAAGGACUAGAAGUGCAAUUAAACCUAAACUACAUUAAAAAUGUGUAUAAACUAAGAUCAUAGAUGAUAAUUACCGGUUGGUGGUCUUGUCAUGGCUCCACCAAUGAUCAGUCACAUCAGCACCAACCCACUGCUGCUGAGUCCGGUCCAUACGGUCCAAUCUCAGAGCCAUCUUAACACCCUUCGGAGCUCCACUUGGAGCACUUCCCUGAGCCACCAGAAACGGUGCUCUCUAAUACUCCACCGUGCAGUUAUAAUGAGCAAACCUGAAAACCAAGAACCCUCUGUGCUUCGUGAUGGGGUUUCCAUUCACCUCGUAUAUUGAAUCCUUAUUGGGAAUUGCAGAGCUAAGCAUGCACAGCAGUGACUUCCAUUGGUUCCUCCCUAUUGAGUCACGAUAAAAGCAAUGCGACGGUUCCUUAGCUUUUCCAAAAUCUUCGUUGCAUUCAAUCUGCAACAAACAUGAAUUUUUCGUAUGAUCGAUCACGUACACACAAAAAAUGGCAAUUCAUUAUUGGCAACCGACAUUAUAUUCAAUUAGGUAUAAUUGUGUUUUAGAUCCUUCUACUAUAUUGGGAUCUGAGAAUUUAUCCUUUUGGUUUAAUUUGAUAAAGUUUUUAGUAGGUUCAAAUUAAUACCACUAUUCAUGGUAACAAUUAACACUGUUAUUAGUUUCAACCUACUGAUAACAUUAUAAAUAUUAGAUUAUAACAGGUGAAAAAGAUUAAAUAAAAAAAUAUACUUUUAAAAGAGUUUAUGUAAAAUUCAAAAUAAACUUUUACCGACAAGUUAAGAAGGAAUCAAGAUGUCUUAGGUAAAGUCCCAAAUUUUAUUCCGAGUUCAAAUCAAAUUUUAUAGAUUUUAUAGAAAAAAAAAGUAAAAAAAAAAUAUUUAAAUUUUCAACCGAGAUGGUGUUCAGUGAAUUUGUGACACCAACCCAAUAAUAUAUUUUAUUUACAGUAUAGAUAAAUAGAUACAAAGAACAAAUUAUGUUAAACUAAAAUAAGGGAUUAAAUUCUAAAUUUCAAUGUGGUAGAAGGACUAAGACUAGAAGUAAACCCUAUUCAACUACAAUGGAAUUUAUUGAAAAAAAAAGAAGGAAAAACUACAAUGGAUUUUUCAGUUUUCUUCUCUUUCGACUGCUAAAAGAAGGGUAAUAAAAUGAAGAGGAAAAGACCUUGGUAAAUUGCAAGCUUUAGGCUGCCACCGCCACUUAGUGUAGAAACUAUCAGGUCUCCCAUUCUCUAAACACCGGAAACCACUAUCUAUAAAAGGACAAUCUGGGCUCUCAUGCAAUGGAUAGUUAUCGUCCCAAACCCAUCUCCCAUCAUAAUAUCACAAUGAUCACCACCUUCAUCCAAUAACCCAAGGCCUUCAUUUGUUGCCCCAAACCAAGUGAAACCAUGGAAGACGAGCACCUGGUAGUAGUAGUUUAAGUAACAGAAGCAAGCAAUGAAAAGACAAGGGCUCGACAAGGUUGAAUUGAUUGAAAUAACCUAAACGGCUUGUUGUGUUUACGUCUUGUUUAGUUGUUGUAUUCUUCAUCUCUUAUCAACUCUAAGAAACACCAACAACAACAAUAAAAAGGAAAGGAGAGAAACCAAGUGUGGAGUUUAGUUUUAAGGAAAAAAGACGUGUUUUAACUUAGACAAGAAAGUUAAAUACCAGGGUGAAGAAGCAUCGUGACUAUAAUUUGCGGCAAUUUUUGGACCACAUAGUGAUGGUGGCUGUGGACGUGACCCCCCGAGCCGACACAAUAGUGUCAUGAUAUUUUGAAGGUAGGGCAAUUUCAAGAUCUGUAAUAAUUUUAAGAUAUAUGCUUGCAAUUAUGGAAUGUAAGACCCCAUGACAUAAAAUAUUGUCCUGUUAUUGAUGGCAGCCCCACCAGCUUCAUACUACCCUGUUAGUAUGAUUGAAUGACCACCAUUCACUAAAUUUUAUAUUAGCAUCUGGUUUUCAGUUCAAUGCUAUCUUCAUUUGUCGUUUCAGAAGUGACCCAUCAUUUUGCUUUUGAUUUAAUCACCGAGUGUUCAUCCUAAAAAUUCAGUGUAGAUUCUAAAUAUAAAAGCAACCUUGUUUGUGGUGUGCAAAUUGAUAUUAAUUUGUUGAGUCUUUCUUGAGUAUGUAUUUCUCGUACCCUUCUCAUUAUUCAAAAUUUCCUUGCUUGUAACUUGAACCCAUAGAACAAAAAAGAAAAAAAAAAAAAAGAGGGAAGCAAAGCAACCGCUCCCUCCCUUUCCUUCAACCUCUGCCUUUGCCGUCCUUAUUUUCUCCUCAAAGAGACUAUGCCAAGAUCCACCGGAAAAAUUCUAGACAUUGACAACAGAAACAACCCAUUCACAAUGCUUUUGGAGACUGAAACUCAAAGAUGGAGUUUGUUUUCGGGUUGUACUCGGCAAAAAAAAAAAAAGGGAAGAAAACAAGCUUAACUAAUAUGCUCAUAUAAUCCAUCAUAAGGCUAUUUGAUAACCCUAGUAACUAGUAAAAAAAAACACAACAAUCAACUUCAGUAAAAGGUUCAACAUCAACACUAAACAUGGUCUGUAUAAGUGACAAUCCAAGAUUGUUGCUUCCUAUUUUUACCUUUUCUCGUUCUAAAAGCAACAAAUCGGAAUAGAAAUAGAUUACCUGCUCACCUAUUAGCACUAGAUCAUAUCAUCUGAGGCUGGUAAUCUCGGGAUUCAUGAUUAAGCUAUCCAAAUCCAGGCUAAUAACCAUAAAUGAUGGUAAUAUGCCAAUAGGGUUCCUUUAAUAUUCGUAUAAUCACCCACAAAAUUCUCCCUACAGCAAAUCUGUCUACACAUCUGAUUGUCACAAAAAAUUUGAUGCAAGGCAGCCGAGUUAACGACCUCGACCGCGUCCCCUUCCACGUCCACGACCCCGACCACGUCCUAAAGGUUUCCCUGAAUUUGAAAAAGCAUUAGAAGGACCAAACCAACAAUGAUUGAAGAAAACAAAGCUUAUACAAGUAGUACACUCUGAAACAGGAGAAAAUGGAGCCAGAGAAUACCAGCUGUUGGCUUCUUGGGUUUCACCCUAGGUGUCUCUUCAACCAGCAAUGUCUCGAGAUUUAAGCUGUCAGGUAGAAUAUAGUAGCGAAUAUUGUUGCCCCUCACACUAAGGUGAUCUAAACUCACUGGAUUUUUCCCCUUCAAUGUAAGUUUCACCGUUUUCAGAUGGGUGUUCAUACUGAUAUCCACACCUAAAACAAACACACCAAUUCAAACUGUCAUUGAAUUUGCAUGCAAAUAAAAGUUUAUGUUCAACAAGGAAAUCACUAAGGUAUAUUUACCCAUCUUUAAACUCUAAUACUCAUGAUUAAAACAGAUGCUGUCCAAAUUAGAAACAUAAUCACCAGUUUCAAAUAAACUCCCACUAUUCGGUAACUUAGUUGACAUUCAUAAAAAGUAUCUAAAGAAUUAUGAGUUCAAUACAUCCUGUUUAGCAGAAAGGCAGAUAUUCUCUGCUCAUUAAUCAUUAUCAAACAAUCAGUCAUUCACAAACUUUGUGCCAGAUAUUGGAAAUAACAAUUAAAAGAAAAUAAUCAUGUUACAAAAAGUCAUCCAAUACGGUAAUAUGUUGGUCACAUAAACAAAAGUCUGCAAAUGAGACGGUUCCAUCUAAUACGAUGAGUAACCAACUACUAACAAGAUAUCAUACGUGUGAAUUGAUCUAAAAGCUAAAUAAUUUAUCAAAUAUAAGCCACCUCUCAAAAAUGUUUCAUAGACAAAAAGCAUACUAAGUGUCCAAAACCAGUUCAUCUUAAAAGGUGAUAACAAGUGAUAUCGUGCAUGAAUACCUAAAUCUGUCCCUAAUUUUAAGGUUAGUAAUUUAACCAAAAGGGAAGCAACAGAAUACACGAUUGAAAUGGGAGUUAAUACUACAGUUGCCAUUACUCAUUUUAGGAAAAAUGGGGGAAAAACUGAGAAAACAAUAAACUAUCAAUAACUACAGCGGAUUGACAAGAAACUUAGCAAAUAAUCUUAAGCUUUUACAACUUCGCUAAAAGGGAGGGUUAGGGUUUAGCUAAACCCUAAUGUAAGGGGGGCAAAACCAAAAAGGGCAAGGGAAAGAGAGGAACCUGUGAUGGUGCCGUGAACAACGGUUCCAUUCUUGAGCUCAAUCGACACCGUUUCAUUGUUCAACUUCAUCAAAAACCUGCUCAUCGUUUAAUUCAAAUCGACGCCAUUAUUAUUAAAUACCAAAAAAGAUAUUUUCCACAUCACUUCGAACAAAGAAAGAAAAUACAAGAAAAAGAAAUGGUGUAAUGAAUCAGGAGAAUUAAAGAAUUACCUCACUAGCUUCAUACUGAGGAGAGUUAGAGGUUGAAGCAAAGGCGAGAGAGCCUAUGGAACUCAGUGAGUUAGCAGGAGAGUAAGGGACCUGUUUGCUAAUGCUACCAGACCAGAUGUGCACCGAGCGAUGAAUUUAUGACUCGGUACACUCCUACAAGGCCUUUUGACUUUUUGAGUUUAUUUGAAAUGAAGCGACGCCGUAGCAAGAAUAGUUGAUGUACUCUUGGGCCAAACUUUUAUUAUGUAUCGGCCCAAUAUUCUUACAUCGCGGCUUGAGAUUUUACUACAUUUUUAUUUAUUUAUUUUUAAUAUUUUAAAUUUAAUUUAAGAAUAUAUAGUAAAACUUCAAUCCAUUUUCAUCACUCAUUUUUAAAAUUUGUUAUUUUAGUCACUCUAGUUAAAUAAAUUGUCCAUUUUAGUCACUCCAUUGUUAAAUGCCUUUGGUCACCCGAUGGAAUGCUGAUGUGGCAGUCUUUUGAUUGGUAUGAUAAAUUUAGUCUUUAACACUUUGCACAUUAUGUCAAUUUGGUCCUAAUUCUAAAAAUUCAAAAAAUUCAACCCUCAAUGUUUAUAAAUUUUUUCAAUUUAAUCCAAAUUCUAAAAAUUCAAAAAAAUUAUAAUUUUAAAAACUUGAAUAUAUAUUAUUUAUAAAAGGACAUAAAAAUAGCAUUUCGUUUGGUGACCAAAGGCAUUUAACGGUGACUAAAAUUGACAACUUAUCUAGCAGAAAUGACUAAAAUAACAAGUUUUUAAAUGAGUCGCCAAAAUAAGAACAUGAGAAAACUCGGGUGAUUAAAUAAGUAAUUUACCAAUAAUUAUCCAUAAAAAAAUAUCCACAUACUUUUAAAUAAAUGGUGUACUCUUGUUCAGCUUAAUUCUAGAUUUAAGUGAAACGUAACGUUACUAUUAAAUACACAUAAAAGGUUUUCGUACCAAAAAAAACCAUUAGUUGAAAUUGUUAACCACAUAUAUUGACUUCUAUUAUGUCAAAUGAUGCUAAGACAUUAUAUUUGACACCUCUAAAGUCUUUAAAAAUAGGGUUUACUGAAUUGAAAUUGAUAACAUAUCAAUUAAAUAUAAUUUAAAAAAUUAAAAAAAAUUUAAAGUUAGGAUUAAAUUGAUAGAUUUUUUAAAUAUCGAGGAUCAAAUUUAUUAUUUUUUUAGAGUUAGAACUAAAAUGACAAGUUUUGUAAAUAUUGAGGGUUGAAUUUGUUAUAUUUAGGAUCAAAUUGAUAGAAUAAAAAAAUUCUUUAGAGAGCUAAUUUUGAUACUAGACCAAUACAAAAAUUCACAUCAGCUUAGAGAUUAAAAUAUUUAAUUUCAAAAAGUUUAGUGAUUAAAUCGAAAAAAUUAAUAGUUGGGUGACCAAAAUAAAAUAAAAGGCAUAGUUGGAUCACCGUUUUUAUUAUUUACCCAUAAAAAAAUAAUUUCCUACAUAUUCGACACAAAAUUUUAAUGGAAAUUUGCACGUUAGUUUUCUCAUAUUUUUUUAGUAGGGGGACGGAAAUACAACCCUUAAAUACAUACAUCUGCCGAUACUUUUACCGAUUUAUUAAUCGUAUAAAAAUUUUCAAUACGUUUCUUACACAAUAAUCACUCUCAUAUAUUAUAUCCAUACAAAUAUAUAUACACACCAUACUGCAGAACGUAGAUUAUUAUUCUUUCAUGGCCAGUUGCUCAAUAAUUAUGAUUUAUGGAAAUGAAUUCUGAAAAGAAGUUUAAAACCCAGUUUAUAUGAACCAGGGCUAUGCCAUUAAAUCUAAGCGUUGGAUGUGAAGUUGAAGUUGGCGCAAGUAGUUUGCCUGCCCAAUAGCGUGGCGCUGAAUCCCAGCCUUGAAGUUGCCAGAUCAAACUGAAGCAGCGUGUUCUCCAAUUGGUGCCCUCCGAUAACAAUGGAAGUAGUCGGGUUCGAUCCACCAUUUACAAAUCCAAGACACAACACGUCCCUGUUAACCUCGACCAUCGAGUUCGAACCAAACAUCCUCCAAAACACGUUCUGGUUCUGCAACACAAGGUCUAUCGAUGGCACGGUGGGUCCUAAUCUCGUGCUUGCUAUGUUACUCGAGCUGAAACACACCUCAAAUGGAGCCACACCGGCAACUCUACUGAUGUUCAUGGCAGCAGCUUCGUUAAUGAAGGCUUCGGUGACGGCUUUGAAGAUUGAAGAUUCGAGAACGGUGUAGGGAUCCACGGUGCUGAUUUUUGUGCCACCAACGCCUUCGUUGUUGAUGGAUAAUAACGUUGUGUUCAGUGAGAUGGGGUUUUCGUUUACCUUGAUGGACUUUACACCGAUGAAAUAUUCGGCGGAAGCUUCGCCCAUAGGGUAAGCGGAGGCUGUGCUGACGGGGUUUAUGAAGAGUGGCGUGUAAGUAAGCGACUGUGAUGCAUCAACACCAGGGAGGAACACGUAAGGACCAUCGCCGAAGAAAAUAACACCAUUUGCCGAGGUUGAAGACGAGAGGCAAACGGCGAAUUUCCUAUGGAAACUAAAAGCAGCAGCGAAUUGUGAAGGAAGCCCAAUUCGAGUCCGACCGAGUCCAGCCAUGCCCACAACGCCGGUAGCCAGACCUUGAAGCAAGAAACUCGGCGCACAUGCGAAAAGGAACCUAGGUACACUAACCACUCUGCCGGGAUUUUUCCCGUCAGUCGAUUGGAUAGACACAACAUCUUGAGCAACCUCACCGGAAGUGGCGAUGUGGGUGACGGAAUUAUCAGGUGUGACGCCACACGUGUUGUUGUUACACCCUGGCCUUGGUGCCGAGAAGCAAUCGCCGCAGCCAUCGGCCCCGGCCAAUGAGCAUUGUGCCGAACGACAUCUAGCUGGACGGUAUGUCGAAGAAACGUAAUCCCGAUCGCAAUCAACCCACAUAUGUCGGCCACCGAGAUCAACCACGAGGUCUAUAGGCAUUAAUGGUGUCCUUUGGCUAAUAGUGGUGAGGUAUUGAAGCGUAGAAGCAUCUUUAGCGACGGGGAUUACCAGUGCCUUGGGGCGAAAAGACUGUUGAGCUAAAGAUGGUGAAGAAAAGAAAAACAGCAGACAAGUGAAGAGAAAACAGUGAAGGGAAGCCAUGGAUAUGUAAUAUGAUGAAGGGAAAUGGGUAUUGAGACACGUACAAAUCCAGCUAUAUUUAUAGCUGAAAGCGCUUGCCACCGCUAAAAGCUUAAAGGUCAAAGCAGGCUGCUUGAAGAAGCAAAGCCUGCUGCCAGCCCUAUGCUGUGGACGUGGCGGCAUGGUAGACAACUUUUGACUUUGACCAAAUCUAUUUGCAUUGAUCUGAUUAUGAGAUUAUUAUUUAAGUUUUUAUUAUAAAAUAUAUUUUGUUUUUUCUUAGCUUUUUUCGUGGAAGUCAUAACUUGGUUGCCUCAAGUUUUAUUUUAGCGAAUAAAGAAUAUGCUUUUUCAAAGUGCCAUUCUUCUCAUCUUAUCUAUAAUAAUAUCAACUAAUAAUUGAUUAACGUAGCAACAAAAUUAAAUUUGUGAUUUAUAUGAUAAAAUAAAUAACUUAAUUGAUUUAUAUAUAAUCUUUUUUUUAUCAAAUGAGCAUUAUAUUUAUAAAUGUCACCAAAGUCAAAUAAAAAGAAAUGAAGGAAAAAAAAUGGAAAACAAAGAAAUAAAGUCAUCUAGAACAUCCAUCUCAAUCACAAAAAUAUGUUGGCACAAUUGAUAAUGACAUAACUUAUUCUAGGUAAAUUAUGUCAAUAAUCACUCAAUUUUGAUCUUAAUGACAAAACAAUCACUUAACUUUCAAUUCAGUCGCUCAACUUUCAAAAAAUAACAAAUCAGUCUUACUAAUCAUUUUCCCUUACAGACAUAACGAAAAAGUGACAAGACAUUUAACCAACUCCUUUCUAUCAUUAACCUGCUAGUUGGAGGGUUAGCUGUCAUUUAAAAGGCGCAAUUUACAAGCUCUUGCUGGGCAAUAAAAGAAGAAGAAGAGAAAAAGAAGAAAAAGCGAAGAAAUGGAGAUACUCUAAGUACGGCCGUUUUGUUCCUCCAAGGUGGAGCCACCACCCAGUUCGCUGCUGCCCCUUUGAAUCUUUGUGCUCUAAGUGACUCCGUUGAAUCUCUAUCCCUUUUUGUCUUAUCUUCUUCUCAUCUCUUUUUCCUUUUUUUUUCUUAACUCUAGUCGCCACCACUUAUUGCCUUCUCCGACCAACUGUCAUCACCAAAUGACUCCUCUUUUCCUCUUCUCAAAUCUCACUUCAGAUUUCUCAAUAGGCCUUCAAAAUUCUGAGAUUAAAACUUCAAAGCUUCAAAAAAGGAUUCAACGGAUCUCUGCCAUAUACCGUUGGAUCACCACCAUAUUCCGGCCACAGCUUUUCUUUGACCAACCAUGACUACUGAUCGCUCAGAUUAUCAAACUGGUGGCUUAAGUUCUCCAACCCGUAAAACUCGAAAUGGGUGUGGGUUUCUUCUCUUUUGGUUCUCUUUCUUUUUUAGUUUUUUUUACUUAUCUCUUUUGAUGUAGGCCAAUUUGAAAUUCUUGUUAUUUUUUUGCUGGUUUGAUUUUGGAUGCUUGCUAUUUGAUAUUUUUGUUUUUGAUUGGGAUUUCAUGGGUCUAUAAUGUUUAGGGGUUGGGAUUUGGUGGUUAUGGUGGUGGUGGCUUGGCAAAUGAGUGACAGUGAGUGAUGCUAGUGUGGUGAUUAAAUGAUAGUGGGCUUGUGGAGGUGGCCAACAUCGAGGGUGGUGGUGAAUGAGCCAAGAGGGAUGAAGAAAAAUGGUGAAAAAGUGCCCCCUAUUUCUCUUUUUGUUUUUGCUGUUUAAUGGUGGCGUGUGAGAGGGAUGAUAGGAAAAUGUCCAAUGUGGCAAGUUAAUUGGCCAUUCCAGCUAGUUAACUGGCACGUCACUUGUCCCAUUAGGCCUGUAAUGAAAAUUGUUAAUAUGUGACUGAUUUGUCACUUUUCGAUAAUGUUAGUGACCGAUUUGUUAUUUUUCAAAAGUUGAGUGACUGUUAAUCUAAUUUACCCAUUAUUUUAACAAUAAAAGUAUUUCAUGCAUAGAAUUCAAUACACAUUCAAAACUCGCCACGAAACAUGAAAACAAAAAAUUGAAAAUGUGGGUCGAUUGAGUCUUAGCUCAAUUGGUAUGGACAUUGUUGCUAAUGCAGAAGGACGUGGGUUUGAGUUCGUUAAAGCGCAUUAUCCUCCUAAUUAUGGGUUGGGAGAGGCUAUAGGUAAUUCUAAGCAUUGUAUCAAAAAGAACAGAUAUGAUCAAAACUUAAAAUAAGAUUAAAAAAAAAAGUAAGGAUAAUUGAUAAUACAAAUGAAUAUUUAUUAAGAAAAUUGAUUUCUUUUAAUUAAAAUUGAAGUCUAAACCGAACUAUUUCAAUUAGAAAUGGUCCAUCACCUUUUCGAUAAAUAUUCUAAAAAACAAACUUUACACGCUUAAUUUGAAAUAUCAAUCAUAAUUAAAUAGUGAUUGUUAAAUUUAUUAAGUUAAAUUUUGUUAUUUUUAAAUUUUUAUACGGUAAAAAUAUUAUUACUUGUGUAAUAUCAUUUUAACUUGUUAUUUUAUGCGGUAAAUUAUUAUUUUGAAAAAAUAUUAUUAUAUUUAAUAAAUGUGAAUAUUUAGCAUAUCCGAAUAUUCAAUAAAUAAUUUAAUUGAUUCUAAUUGAAAUUGAAAGUAAAUAAAUUUUUGAAUUUAGGUUAUACAAAAUGGUAAAUAUACAACCCUAAAUUGUAGCAUCAUAUAUUGUCCAAGAAAACUCAUUUUAAAGGUGUAAUUAAUUAACUAAUUUGUAUUUUUUUAAAGAUGUUAUGAGAAAUAAAAUACUGAAUAAAAAUCUUUCUAUAUAAUAUAACUCCAUACCAACAUAUAAAUAUUUUUUUUGCAUCAAACUUGAAAAAGCAGAUGAAAAAAAAAGCUGAGUUCGCCGCGCCACAGCAUCAAAGCCGUUGCCGACCUUCACACAAGAAGGUGACGCUGCAUUCAUCGUCGACGACGACGGUAUACUUAUGAUUAGGCUUCCAAAGGAAAGGCGGCAAGUGAUACAGUAUCUCGCACACACACAACGUGUCCAUUUGCCUCAGCCAUUCACAACAGUAACGCUGUUCGGGUGUCUCAUGACUCCCAUGUCUAUGCCUGUGCCUGUGUCGACGCCGGUGUCGGUGCCUAUGCCCAUUCCCAUCUGCCGGCGGAGGAGGGGGCUGUGGCAUCGGGAGUACAGGCACCAUCGCGCAUGCAAAGUUCACCAGCGCGAUUUGGGACCUGCAAAGUGGAUGUGGAAAUGUUAUUUGUUCUGGGAUCAAGGUCAGGUUAUUAGGCAUUGCAACGUAGAACAUGGAGAAGAUGAACAAUAUAAGGACCCCAAAUUUUGCCAUUAUUGAUCUUAUCUCUCAAGAUAUAGGGGUUGAGGUGAUAAAUGACCUAAAAAAGAGGGGAUUUUGAUGUCUUACCAUGGGUGUUCAUUUCAAUUUAUACUGUGUUCAUCCAUAAACUUCUUGUAUGAGACAAAUAAAAAAACACAGGGGAUGACCAAGAGAAUGAGGUGAUGGUUUGUUGAUGUUAUGGGAAGAGUUCAGGUUUUCUCGGUUGUUUGUAAUUUAUUCAUUCAUUUAUUUUCCAUUCUUUUAGCAUGAAGACCUUGUUAGGUGUCAAAUUGUUGAUUACAUAUAUGUCUAAAACCAUUCCUUCAAGAAAAUUACCAGUCUGAAAUUUGGAAACAGUGUGACUCUGAAAAUAAACUGCAACCGCAUGCUACCAUGGCAAUUGAAUUGGUAAUAUAUAUAGUAUACACACACUAACGCAUAUGCAAUGUUAUAAAAAGACAAUAAAAAAACAUAUCUGCUUUUAGUCUUGUUUUGUCUUGUUUUCACUUUUUUGGAACAUUGAAAGCUGAUUGAAUUGUUGACAAUAGAGUAGAAAGAUGGCUUGCUUCUCUACACAUCAUGGCUGGUAACUCAUGUACUAAUCAUGACACUUAAAUUUAACCCUCGUACUAAUUUAAUUGGUAUCAAUAUUAAUGAAGAUUUUUAGAUAUUGUGUAUUCGAGUAUUAAUCAUCAUGAUUAAAUUUAACUCAUUUAGCUUAUUGACUAUUAAUUUAAUUGACAUUGAAAUUAUUAAAAAAAUUUAAAGGUUGUGUUUAGACAAAUGUAUUAUUAGUUAAGACUUCAGGAUAGUUAAAGAUAAAUUAGAAAAUGUAUCAAGAAAUUAACUUACAAAAUUGCCAUUUGAGGACAAAUGGCAAGUCAAAACAACACCCAAACAGUAAGUCAGCUAACAACAAAUAGGGAAGCCACCCACAAGCUACCCUUCCCGAAGACAACCAUCUAGACAGGUGCAAACCAUCCGUCACCUGUGUAACACCCCUCACUCGACUUGAUCGUCGGAUCUGAGCUACAGAAUGUUACAGUUGUUGCCGAAACAACUACAGACAAUUAACAAUCACAUUAAAAACAUAAUUCAUCCAAACACAACCAUUACAAAUCAUAAAUUCAUUAUAUAAUCUUUUUCGGGUCUUAUACGAGCCUACGAAAGCUCUAAAGUUAACCCGGAAUCGCAUUAGGACCAAAUUGCAACAUUUUUAAAAUUUUAGAACGACGUACCAACAUGAACUCUGGUUUUGGCACCUAAUCCAAGCCAACUAUACCAUUAAUUCAUUUGGUGCAUAAUUGCACCUUUGUUCCUGCAAAAAACCAACCAAUGGCAUACCAUAUAAUCAUUUAAUCUUUACCAUAAUCAACCAAUUCAACAUGCCUUAAUUUGGCAUCAAAACACAUCAAACACCUUAUUAAAACACAAACUAAUCUUCCAUGCUUUCAAGCCAUUCCAAAACAACAAUUAACCAUGCCAUUUUUCAUGCUCAAAUCAUACCAUUGCAUGUUCAAAUGAGCUAUUUAAACACUAUCCAUAUGGUCUUAACACAUGACCAAAUCAUACCAUAAUACAUGUGUAAGCAUUAACAUCUCAUAAUUCAUAUAUUAGCCAUACUCAAACCAAGCUAAUAAUUCAAAGUUAACACUUUUAUAGCACCUAUGUACAUGCCACAACAUCAAGUCUAAAACGAUCAAAAGACUACCGAAUAGAUGGUAGGAUAGUGUGGUCUUCAAGCUGAUUCGAUCGAUAGGUUUCGUAAAUUAAUGAUCUACAAGGAAAAAGGAAAAGAAACGGUAAGCAUAACGAACGCUUAGUAAGUAUAUAUGAAAUUUACUUAACUUACCUUAACAUUUAUAACAAUUUAGCAAUUGAAACACAUUAAUAUGAACAUGGGAUUUUUUGGCAACCUUAUACUUUCAUGCACAAUUCAACCACACAAUCACUAUGUUAGUUCAUUUGCAUAUCAAACCAUAAUACCAAAAUCAUGUACAUAUAUAACCAUUUCAUAUUAUAACAUAUACUAUUGACUAUGCUCAAUUUGUAAAUUGUUGGGAAAUGUGCCCAUAUUGUAAUAAGCAUGUAAUAUGAAAUAAAUAAAUUUUACUUUUCAUUGUUAUGUCUUUAAUAUUUUUAUCUUUCAUGCAUAGCGAAAUUGUGACAAGCAAAUAUUAGCUCAUUAAUAGUCUAAGUUCAAACUGAUGAUAAGUGGUAUUGUAAGAAUGUUUACAUUGUGAGCAAGACAACUUACUUCAAUAGAUAAACUAAAUGAGUCCGUAAUCUCGUAAAAGAAUCAAAGUGAGCAUUUGAUUCAAAUACUGAGAAGGAUUAUUAUGUCGUCUAAAAUUCCAAUUGAGGAGAUGGCCAGUCUUGGUUAUCGGAGCAGUUGACUCCACGGGUAGAGACAUAGAUGUAUUCAUUGGCAAAAUGAUGCAUUGGACUAGACUUAAGAUGAAUUAAUUCUGAAUUCGUUUGUGAAUUAAUUCACUUGUGACAUUCAUGGUGUGAUUUAUCUAAAUCCUGAGUUAGUCACUGACCAUGCGUAUGUAACUCAUGUGUUUUGAUAUAAGUGGAGGCUUAUGCUCUAAAGACGAUCAAGUUGAUAGCCAGUAUGUUGGGUACAUGACUUUGUAUGGCAUGACUUUACUAGCAUCAGUGUAAUUCAUAGCUCAAUUAAAGAGUUAACUACAUCCUUUCAUUGGCAUUGCGUGGAUUAUAAAUAUGGAACGUGACCACAGGUUGCUUAUUCUCAAACGAGCAAUUUAUCACAGUCAUUUGUUGACAGUGAUUAUAUUAAUCAUUAAGAAGACACAAUUGUAACAAUGAGAUAAAAUAAAAUUGUAUUGAGUGAACAGAUUUAACUCAAAUGAACCAAGGAUAUCAUAUGAGGGUAACACACACAUGACGAGGUCAUUGGACAAAGCAGUUGGAUGAAUUGCUUUCGUAAAGAGUAUAUAAUAAGGAGUUUGCAAUCAAGGUACUCAUUGUGGACUGACUCCAUGAUGCGAAUUAUCGGAAUGAUACUUCUGGACAUAAUUACAAUUAAUAGAGCCUGAUUGUAUAUGUUCGAUUGGUCCCCCCGCUAGCUCAAUAAAAGCUCGAUCAGACUACAUUUGAACUAGAAGAAAAUUCUAUGACUGGAGAAAUAAUUUAAUUUAGUCGAUUUAUUCAAUGUGGAAUUAAAUUAGGCGGUCAUAAGAAUUGUCCAACUAGAGAAUUUGAUUAAAAAAUUUUCUUGAAAAUUUAAUUUGGAAAAUCUAAGUGAUUUUUGGGAAAAUUAAUUUUGAUGAAGUAAAAUUAAAUUAAUCAAAUUAAUUAAAAUUAGUAUGAAAUUUUUAGAAAUUAAUUUUCAAAUUAGACAAUUGGCCCAAUGAAUAAUUGAACUUGAAAUUUGGAUCUGAGAUCGUAAAUUGGGCCUAGGAGCCCAAACUGAGACCAAUACCCAAAAGAUGGUCAAACCGGGCCUAGUAUGUGAAACAGACUAACAGUCCAACUGGUGGCUGUAUCGGACUGAUUUGGUCGUCACUAGUCCGAAUCGAACUGGUAGAAACUGAACUAACUCGGAGUGUUGAUGGUUGCGACGGUGACAUUUCGAUGGCCGACAAAUAGUUGGCGACGGUGGUUCUUCCAUGGUUGAGCAGUGGAAGAAUUACAUUCCUACUGAGACUCUACCAGAGAAUUUGAUUUCAGAUUAAUUAUUCCAAAAAUAAUAUUAUUUUAAUAAAUUUAAUAUUAAAUUUAAUUUAAUACUUAUCUCAAUAGUAUUUUAUUAAUUUAAUAUUAAAGUGAUUAUCUUAAUAUUAAAUUUAAUUUAAUAUUUAUCUUGUAGAUAAAUAUUUUAUUAAUUUAAUAAUAUUUAAUAUUAAAUUUAAUCUAAUAUUUAUCUUGAGAAUAUUAUAUUAAAUUUAAUAUUAAAGUGAUUAAGUUUAAUAAUAAUUGAAUUCUCUAAACUCUCCCUAUAGCCUUGGGUCAUUAUUUUUCACACUCUUGAAUUCAAUAAAAAAUUGUAGAGAGAAAAUUUUUUAAAGAAAUUAUUUCAUAAAAUUUCUAGAGAUAUUUUUUUAUUUACAAUUUGGCCUAAAAGUUUAGAGAAAUUAUAAAAUUACCCCAUUGACAAUUUUUGUGAAUAAUUUUCAGAUUCGAAGUGAGCUCACACUCGACAAACGUGAGUUUGAGGAUACCGGAGAAGACUACUCGGUCGAAACGUUCAUCCUAAACGAAUAAAAAAUGUACAAUUUUGAUUAAGUGUUUAUUACUUUAGUUAUCACAACCAAAUUCUUAUUUUAGAAUUUUUUUAAACUCUAAUUUUUUUCUAAAUUUAUUUUUCCCUACGUUUUUCAAACUUGAUUUUUCAACAAUUGGUAUUAGAGUCAAGUUGUACUCUAUUUAUAAGUAUAAACAGAUAAUCAAAAUAAUUUUCUCUUCUUCUUGAAUGAUUUAAGUACAUAAAAAUUGACAAUAUUUAGAUCUUAUGCAUGUUUUGAGUUAUAUAUGAGAAUAAAUGUGAUAUUAUAUAUUUGUCAUAUAAUUAUUUUUUUCCCCAAUAUUGUGGUUCUUAGGAAAUAGACCGUGAACUAUGAUUUCCGCGUAGGACUGUUUUUUUUUUAAUUUAUAGAAUUCUUAUAAGCCGGAAACGAACAUAAGAUUUAAAUGUAAUUUUUCCAAAAGAAGUCUAUGAUGAGGAGAAGAUGGAGCGAUGGCGGUUAAAAACCCAAGGAAUGCCUUGUGGCAAAAAACUAUGUAAUUUUAUUUUAUUUUUCAUUUAUUUUCUAUAAAUAGAACCAUGAAAACCUUGACUGAUUAUUUUAUUUUAAUUGCCUAUCUCUUUAUAUAUAUUUUAUAAUUUUUUAUAAUAUGUAUAUUAUGCAAUGUUAUAAUUAUGAUAUAUAUAUGAGAUGAUCCUCAGUUGAUCGAUUAAAAAAUAAGAAGUGUGGUAAUGAGAAGUGCAUGUCUAGGACAGACUCUAGCUAAAAAAGGCUUGAUUUUUAAGUGGUCAAAUUUGACUCACCUCCAUUUCCUAAGACUCUACCUGGUGCACGGUUUACAUUCACUUCUUCAGUUUUUCCUUCAAAAGAAAAAUUAUGAAUAAUUAAAAUUGUUUGUUUUAUGAUUAGUUGAUUCUUGUGAAUAUUAUAAAAUUGUCAUCUCAUGCCAUGUAUACAUUGGAAGCAUGUCAUAUAGAUUAGAUAAGAAUGUCACUAGGACUAUUAUAUGAUCAUUUUUGAAAUAUGAGAUAAAAAGAACUUUACAUGUUUUUUUAAAAUAUUGAGUGGGAGAAGGUCAUUGAACAAGACCUAUGACCUUCAUUGAUGGUCCCUAAGUAAUACUAUGAUAAAAUUUCGAGCCGGCUAAUAAAAUUUUCAAAUGUGUUUAAUUUUCUUUAGUAAGUUUAAUUUUCCUUAAAUCAUUCUAUUUAUUAAUAAACUUAAACUUGUACUUCAAAUAUUUUAUAAAAAAGAUUAUGUCUUCUAUCUCACGCACAUUUAUUAUUUUAAUUCGCUGAGCUGGUUACGUUAUUUAAAAAAAAAUGAUAUUAGACCCUAUAUUAUGUUUAAGUUAUGGAUUUAGUUAAAGUUGUUGAUUAGUCGGAUCGGAAAUUAAUUAGUACAUUAGUCUAAAGGAAGGCAAAAAUUGACUAAUCAUUUGACCAAUACAAAUUGGUUGAAUUAAGCUAAAAAAUUGAUUGAAUUGCCAGUUAAAUUGAAAUUUAUAAUUAUGUUUUUAUUUUAUUUUAUGAAAUUUUCAAUAAAUCAUUUAAUUUGAACUAGACGGAUGGAAUUAGUUGUCUGAAUUGUUCGACCACUGGUCCGAUUUAAAAAAUAUUGGACUUUAUUCUUGUAAUUUGGUUAUUUUUAGUUCCUAUGCUUUUCGAAUUUUAAAAUUAAAAUCCUGAUCAAAUAGUAGUUGUUAAAUUCAUUAUUUUAAUUUUUCUAAUUCCAAAAUUUGAAGUGAAAAAUAUAUUAUCACACGUGUAAUGCCAUGUCAAUUUAUUAUUUCCACAUAUUACUCAUGAAAAAGCUAGUUAAUAGAUUUAACGGUUGCCAUUUGCGUCGAGACUUAAAUUUCAAAAUUCGAAAAAUAUAGGAACUAAUAAUGAUCAAAUUAAACAACAUGCACUAAAUUUAAGUGUAGACUAAACUUUCAAAAUUCAAAAAAGCAUAGGGACUAAAAUUGAGCAAUUUGAAAAAUAAGGAGACUAAAUUUGAUCAAAUUAAAAUAUAGGGACUAAAUCUACAACUUACUCAAAUACAAGGACUAAUAGAAGAAUUUGACUCUUUUUAUAAAUACUCUAACCAAAAUUUAUUAAAUUAAAACAACUACAAAAUACUAUCCGUUCUUCUUCUCCAAAACUCUCUCAUCUUCUCUCCAUUUCUUUGCUCCGAUCACUCGCUGUUUAUCGCUUGAAAAAAGGUCACUUCUUUUUCCCUUUUUAUUUUUGGUUCUUUACUUGAUUUUUUUCCUUUUCCUGGGUAAAAUUAUUUUCUUUUUUUCUUUUUUCAAGCAGUUAAAUUCUCUUUUUUUUUCUUUUCUCUUCAGCCAAACAGAGCAUUGUUUCGUAACUCGUUUUCCUUCGUUUCAUGUCAGGGUUCCUUUAUGNNNNNNNNNNNNNNNNNNNNNNNNNNNNNNNNNNNNNNNNNNNNNNNNNNNNNNNNNNNNNNNNNNNNNNNNNNNNNNNNNNNNNNNNNNNNNNNNNNNNAGUAUAUAUAUAUAUAUAUAUAUAUAUAUAUAUAUAUAUAUAUAUAUAUAUAUUAAUUUUUUCCUCAAUUCUGUCGUUAAAAUUAAGCUUUUAUAGUUUUACGUUUGAUUAACGUGAUUAAAAUUAUGGUUCUCAUCAUGAAUACUUCCUUCAUCGUUUUUUACUUUGAUUACAGAUUUCAUGUAAAUUUUUGUUACUUUAUUUGCAGGUUAAUAGCUUUCCACUAUGGGGUUUAAAAAGGUUUAUAAAUGCUUGAUGGAUAUUUUCCCGCAGGUAUUUCUUUUUACUCAUUUUUAAUCCCAUGCUGUAAUUGAUUUAUGUAUGCGUAUAACAUAAAACGUAGUGAUUUGGAAAAAGAAAUGUAACAAACAUGCAGUGGAAGUAUUUUUUCUUACACCUACUGCACAGGUUGAUUCACGAAUUCUAAAAGCUGUUGCUAUCGAGAACUCUAAGGAUGUGGACGCUGCUGCUGAGAUUGUUCUGUGUGAGAUUCUGCCUUACGUAUCUAAACGAACUGUGGCUGGUAGUUCUUCCUCGCGGAAUCGGAGCCCUCCUGUGCAAGCAAAUGAAGGUAGCUUUUUUUAUGAUUUAGUUGUAGACUAGUUUUUUUCUGCAUUGUGCUUUGGCAGUUUUGCAAGUUUGUGGAAUAAUUAAUUGUAUCUCUGUAUGUUCUGUAUUGUGGUUUGGACGGUAACUGCCUUGCAUAUUGGAGCUUAUGCAUUGAUCUAUUCGCCUGUUUAAUGUCAUGCAUACAUUGUUUGCUGAACUUGCAGCUGUCGAUGAGGAAGAAAGCAAUCAAUCAAGGCUGAAUAAUGUGUUGUUGGGGAAAACAGCAUGCUCUUCUGCAGAACCAUUGUUCAAACCAAAUAAAGUUGCCAGAGACAUUGGUCUUACAGGUGCUGCCACCAAUGUGGAUUCUGUUGAGCCACCAAAUGCAGCGAGUACUUCAAAAUUUCAUGAGAACAAAAAUAAUGAGCCUGCUGGUAUUGAAACUGAUGAAUUGAUUUUGUUGGGGAGCUCAGAAAGAAGUGAUGAAAGUCGGAAAGAUAGAUCUGGUGUCAUCUUGAAUACUUCAGGGAUCGAGAGUUCUCUUCUAUAUGUGAAUCAUGAAAUUAGGGAGUCUGGUUCAUCGAGUAAAGACCGACCCAUAGACGUUGAAGUUGGGUUUGUAAGGGCUCCUCAUGCUUCAUCAGAUACUGCUGAUAAUUCUACCUCACUUCUGGAGAAUACUGGUACUAGUGGCAGCUCUAGUGGUCAUUUAAUUUUUGAUGGGCCUGUGGACUUGCAUGCAGUUUUAUGCAGAAACAGUUCAUUAGAUGCAACCUUGGUAGGGGAAGAAAAUGCUGUGGCUGCUCUGGUUCCAUCAUCUUCUCAAGAACAAAUGCAAGAAGCCCUGAGAGCUGGUCUUCAUUCUGAAAGUAGUCACUCUAGUGAUUCUGAGAAACAAGAAAGCGGUGCAUUGGGUAAUAUUGAGGAUGAUACCUUCAAUCCUGUGGUUAGUAGGUCUAGUCAAACAUGUAGAAUUGAUCUACUUGAAGAGGUCAUUGAAGAUGGUAAAAAUAACAAGGUACUUUGCUUUAAACCUUUUACUCUUGUAAAAUUUGGAGGCUAAUUGGGUAUGAGAAUGGAUUAUUUACAAUGAUGACAAUGCUAUAGUCUGCUGUGUCAUUCAGCUGUGGCAUGAGGUUCUUAACUCUGAUGUUAUUGCUUAUUUAAGAAGCUUUUCAAAGUGAAAAGUUAGGUCAUUAUUUCCUUUGUUCUAUUUUGGGAUGGCAUACCCUUACCAUGUUUUGGUGUAGAAAACUUUGUUUCAGGCUAUGCAGUCAAUCAUGAACUUGAUGAGAGAAGUUGAACUUCAAGAGGAAGCUGCAGAACAAGCAAAAGAGGAAUGUGCCAGGGGUGGUUCAGAUAUUCUCGUCAAGGUGGAGGAACUUAAACAGAUGCUGCCACAUGCAAAGGAAGCAAAUGACAUGGUUGUGCGCUUGUUUGUUAAUAGCCCCCUUUUUUAAGUCAUAGAACAUAUUGUAGUUCUAUUUUUAUUUAAAAAGUAUGAAAGCUCAGCCAUUGGCAUCUCUUUUGCAGCAUGCUGGAGAAGUAUAUGGGGAGAAGGCAAUUCUAGCCACUGAAGUGAGAGAGCUUCAAAGUCGCUUGCACAGCUUGUCAGAAGAAAGAGAUAGAUCUCUUUCCGUUCUCGAUGAGGUAUUUUAGGAACAAAUUAAUUCGCCAUCUAGUAGAUAAUUAGUAGAAAAUCUUGUCUUGAUAUAAUUUGCUUUGGUAUGGUUCAUUUGUCUGUUUAGUUAUCUGCAUGUGAUAAAUUAUCUUGAUCUUGGUUGUUCAAUAUGUUUAUCCAUGCUGUUGGGCAUAUGGAGAAGUUGAAAAAUUUUGCAAAAAACAUAUUGUGCAAUAAACCAAUUUUUGGUUGACUUCAUCUAUUUUGAGAUAAAUCAGCCAUUUCUUGAAACAGAUUCAUCAUUGAGUAAGUUUUCUAGAGAUUUGUACUUGAUCAUCCUUUGAAUUAAUCAAUUAUGGUGUAUUUAACAAGGAACAUGAUGUUUCCAUGAAAGACUUUGUUAUACUCAUUAUUUUUUCCUGUAUGCAUUUAUCCACAGAUGCAUCAAACCCUUGAAGCUCGACAAGCUGCUGCAAAGGAGUUGAUGAAAGCUGCAGAGCAGGAAAAGCUGGAAAAAGAAGAAUCUGCCCUUAAUGCUCUUGCUGAGCAAGAAGCCAUUAUGUUGAAAGUGGUCCAAGAGUCAGAGACCUUACAGCAGGAGGCAGAAGAAAAUUCCAAGGUUGCUUUCAUUUCUGUGCACCCUGUAUUAGUACUUGCUAGUCUUAACAAAAUUUUGAAAUAGAUUACUUAUUUGGACUUACUAUAUUCUAUGUUUAUGCUCAACUGCAGCUACGUGAGUUUCUUAUGGACUGUGGUCAGAUUGUUGACUCAUUACAGUAAGUGUUAUUGCCUGGCUAUUUAUUUUUAUCAAUUCGCAUCAAACAUUUUUUUUUCAUAUUAUAAGUCUGAUUUAUGAUGAAUCACCAUAUAUAUGAUGGUUAUGCAUUUAUUAUUUAGGAUUGAUCAGCACCAAGGAUAUUCAACUCCAUGUGAUAGAAUGGAUCAAUUCAUGAAUAAUAUUAUCAUAUGUGGAUAUAUUCCAAACUAUCUUCUUGUUUUAAAUAUAUUAGCUCUGAUUUGAUGUUUGCAAGAGGAACUGAAUAGCAAUGGAGGAGUGGUAACAAUUUAUUGUUCAUCCUUUUUUCCAGGGGAGAAAUAUCUGUUAUUUGCCAGGAUGUGAGAUUGCUUAAAGAGAAGUUCGAUGAGCGUAUCCCAUUGAGCAAAUCCAUUUCCUCAAGCCAAACCAGCUGCAUCCUGGCCUCUUCCAGCUCAUCUCUGAAAAGCAUGGCGUCUGAUCUUGGUCCCGAGCAGGGAGAGGCGACUAAAAUCCUGGAGAAGAAAAGCCCAACACCAUCUGUUGAUAUGCAGUCACCAAAAAGUAGAUCAUCCGAAGAACAAUACAAAGGUGAUGACGAGGAGUUAUUGGAUGAGGGGUGGGAAUUUUUUGAUGAUGCCGAAAUCAAGAUAUAGUAGAGUGAAGCUAUGUGUAUCUUCUUCUUUUUUUUGUUGACAGAAAGCUAUAUGAAUCUUUUGAUAGAACAUUAAAGGGACCCUUUCCUCGCUCAUAAAUGGCUGUUACCAGUCUUAAUAACUAUUUGUUAAAUACUACAAUCCAGUACUAUAUGAGUGACUAGGUAUUUUCCUCUAGCAUAUAUAUAGCCUAUAGGCAGUUUCUUUUGAACCUUAUACUACUAUAUGUUAGUGCAAAAUACUAAUGCACAACUUUUGUACAGCAUUAAUUAUUGAAUAAGUGAAUGGAUCAUGCAGAUGCUCGCUUUAUUGAAUGAUGAAGCUCGUUAAUUCUUUUAAUAUUCUUGCUAAUCUUUAGCCCUAGUAAACUUGGGUUAGUGCGGUGCUUGCAUGUAUCAUGCAACGUAUUCUCUGUUGCUUCUGGCUGUAUUGAAAGCCUGUUAGAUUGGGUUUUACCUUAACCAAAACACAACCCAAAUUUAAUAAAGUGGAUAACCAACUCUUUUUUUUUCUUUUCAUAAGAACCUCUGAGCAAAUUGAUUUUUUUUUUUAAUAUUGAGCAACUAAAGAGAAUAAAUUGUGAAUUAAUUGUGGUAUUCACUUCUCUUAUCAAUUUAUCUUAUUUUUUAUUGGUAUAAUAGUUCUAAUGUUUACUAAUUCUGUCGAUUUGGUUUUAAUUUUAAAAAAGUUAAUAAAUUUAGCCCUAAACAUUUUAUACAUUCUAUCAAUUUUGUCUCAAUUCUAAAUUUGUUAAUAUCUAAUGAGAGCUAAAUUUAUUGAAUUUUUUAAAAUCAUGACUAAAAUGACAUAAUUCGUAAACAUUAAAGGUUAAAUUUGUUAUUAUACCAAUCAAAAAUAGGAUAAAUUGACUGAAAAAAGUAAACCCUAUGAUUAGAUGUAUUUAAUUACUCAUCUUGAUAAGUAUUAAAUUGCUUAUUGUUUUAAAAGGAUUAAUUUGCUCAAUAUCAAAAUUAAGAGGGACUAAAAAGGUUGUUGUUACCCUCGUUUGCGAUUAAAAUUUGGGGCCUUAAUGUUUUUGGUGAAAGCAAUUUUGCAUUAACUUCUGGAACUACUCUGCUCUUGCAGUGGCAUAUUAAAAGGGAUCUUUUACAACACACACACACACACACACAAAAUGGAACCCAACAUGUUAAUUUAUCAGCUUUGUUCUUCUGAAAUUCAUGUUUAGGCAAUGUUCAUCAGCCUAACAAUCCUGUCUUGAAUCUAAUUUUUCUACCUCCUAAAAAAUAAAGAGGAGAAGAAGAAGAAGAAGAAGAAGAAGAAGAAGAAUCCCCACCUCCUACUUGAAGGGUGAUCUCUGUUUCUAAACUAAACAUCAUAAUCAUCCAUUAACUCUCUCAUUCAUGCCAACAAAGGAGUAACACAGUGCAUCUCCAUAUAAUAUAAAGCCUUCCCCUCUGCUCUCUUAUUUGCUUCGAACACCUUUCCCAUGUCCGUACCUUCAUAUUCCUCAUUGAAAUUGAGCUUCCUCCCAUAUUUUCACAACCAGAACUGAAAAAAAAGAAAAAAAAAAACUUGAAAACUUCCUUGUUUGGUAAUAAUUGUAGGUAGGUUCAAGUUUUUAUAGGAAGAUACUCGGUGAGAAUAUUUUAAUCGAUUAUGUGGUGGAUGACAA